rnacentral:lncRNA from 1 species
AAAAAAAAACAACUACAAGUCUUUUGUCUUUUCCUUUGGUUCAUUAGCUUGGUCGGCAAGAAGACUUUUGGGAUACCUUUUUGGUUCAAACAAAAAAAUCAGCCUUCUUCUUUUUCUCCAUAUUUUGGUGCUACACAAUCAGCAAGUUUGUUCUUCAAGUGGGUAACGUUCCUUCACUUGAUAUUUGGGGUUUCUUGCGGUUUGUUCUUGGAGAUUUGGUUUACUUUUGUGAGGUAUUUUCCUCUUGUAAUUUACACCUUGGUGUGUUUGUAAGGCUUAUGCCUUUUGGCCACUUUGUAAACUCUUUUGGUGAUAGUGGAAGAAACUGACCUACCGGUCGUCGUGGACGUACCUCAAGUUAUUUGAGGGAACCACGUAAAUCUUGUGUGCUCAUUUAUUUUCUGUUAUUCUAUUUAUAUUGCUUCCAUUGAUUUACACUUGUGGGAAAGCCUAUUUUUUUCAACACAUACCUCUUGAGAUUAUUGAGAUUGUUUUGGAGGCCGCUUCUCCUGCUCCUCAGCGCAGCCUUGGAGGCAUAAGUCUCUAUGAUGUCCUCGGUAUCAUAAGCUGCCUCUCUGAUUUCUGCAACCCAAUUGCGAAUAACCUCACUUUCAUAUUGUCUUGCAUCUGCAUCUCUCAGAAAGCAUUUCAUCGUCCUUAGCUCAGCUUGAAUUUCAGUAACUUUGUCGCUCACCCCAUGUAAGAAACUUGCCUGUUGGAUUAACAGGUCACCUAGCCUUUCCACAGCAAAGGAAACAAUAGCCUCUGCCAUUUUUCUCUUUUUGUCUUUCACAGAAACCUAUUUUGGCUCUUAAUUUGAAUUGAUGGUAGGUUUAGAGGUAUUCUGUUGCGUUUUUGAAUGUUAUGGACGGAAGAAUCACUUCUUUGCUUUGGGAUAUUGGCAAUUGAUAUUCUACUCUCCUACUCAAAGAAUCUCUACUUCUUCCAAAUAUACUCUGCAGCUGGGGUAAGUUUAUUCAGUUGUGUUAUUGAGUGUUCUGGAUGGAGGAAUCACUUCUUCACUUGGGCAUAUUGGCAAUUUCUUUCUCCUCUUCUACUCAAAGGUUCUCUUUACAUCCAAUUCUACUUCUUACAAAUAUUCUCUGCAGCUCGGGAGGGAAAACAGGGGUGUCAGCUGAUUUUAAACAACUAGAGUCUACCGGACACGCCCCAUUUCCAAUUGUGAGGUUGGAGAUACUGAUUUUAACAACUCGACCUCUCUCUCCAAUCUUUAGGAGUGGUCUACCUUUGGAAAAGAUCCAAGCAUACCUCUUGAGGAGGUUUUGGACACUGCUGCUGGGCAGAGGUUACAUCGCAAGCAAUUCCUUCUACAUUCCAAUUAAUUACCAACCCUAGUCUCCUGAGCUCCAUUUUCAAACUGCUCAACUCUGUCACUCACCCAAUAUUACAAUUCAGCUCCCAUUUAUGAUAUCUCUGUUACCAUGGGAAAGCAACACGUCAAUGGUGUGUGGGUCAAGGCGCUUGGAUUCCAAUUACCAAAAGACAGAAGUAUAGCUCAAGGAUAGUACAGAGUAGAAUCAACCCAAUCAUACUGUCCUCCUUUUCAAUGAUCUUCUGUUUGUGAAGAUGAAUAAAAUAGAUGCUUGCAUAUCAAUUUCUUGUUUUCCUCAGAUUUACAUUUUAGAGCUACUUUGAUGGCUAGAAGUUUAUAGUGUAGGAAGUUAAGUUUCAUUUCCUUUUCCAAAGAUGGGAUUGAUUUAUCUGCUGAGGGAAGCAAGAUAGUUGUGGAGGAGAUACUGAAGGUGCUUAAGGAAGCUGAAUGGGAGCUUAGCUACUCCAUGCCCACUGAAUUCGGAGAUGACUCCCCAAUCCUCAUUGAUGGAAAGACCACCUUGAAUUCCUCAAAUGGGACCUUCCACAGGAAGAUUCAAUGGGACUAAUUAAGUUACCAAAUGCAAAUCUUUAUUGCGCAGGACAUGCAAAAGAGUAAAAAGGGGAAAAAAGGAAGAUGUUUUGUUUAAUAUCCCAGGAUAUAGAUGCAGUUCAAUUGGUUGAUUUACUUCCUACUGCUUGCCAUACUUGUGCUAUACUAUGGAGAUGAUGUUAGAACAAUUGGGGUUUUCUCUUUUUCUUUUCUGGAUGGGCAUAUGAAAGCACAACCUGUUAAAAAAGCCAAAGAAACAAAGGGAAAUUGCAUUGAAACAACCACUUUUAUUGUACACAACAGGACAAUGAAGCAUCACAAAAAAGCACAAUCUGAACCUUCCAAAAACAAUCCCGACAUCAAGAAAACUAGCAAAGGUUUUAUGGCAACACACCAACUAUUAAGAGGAGAAAAAGAGAGAGAGAGAGAGAGAGAGAGAGAGAGAACAUUGUUUUCAGAUCACAGACAGUUGAAUUUCAUCUACCACCGCACUCAUUCUACUUAGUAAAAGAGUACUGGGCAAGAAGCUGUGAAAGGUGGAGGACUACACUAAUUUCCCAAUUAGGCUGGCUGCUCACAAGUCACUGCUGCCAUUUAGCAUCACCUCACCAUCAGGGCCUAUUGGAUGAAAUCCAUCAGUAAGUUUUUCAUUCAGUGGUUGCUUCUUCUCUCUUCAUCUUUAGGUACCUCAUAAUCAAAAUCAUGGUUAGAAGCAGCAUUUCAACAAUUUAAGGCUGUUAAAAUAAGUGAAACUUUGAUUCAUAACUUCAAUCUAUGGGUGCUCAAAAGCAACAACAAAAUGUUGUCCUUAACAUGUUUUUUUAAUGCACAAACUCAUCAAAAAGCAUUAACAGCCAGGAAUAUUGGUUGAGGAAGCAAAUGCUCAAUUAUUUUUCAUAUCUUGCAGUUGAUGUAUGAGCUUUCCAUAAAUAGUUGAAUCCCUGAAAACAAUGUGUACUUUUUGGGGCAAAGAAAAGGAACUUGGUCCACUACAAGUUGUGUUUGUGGUAUAUUAAACAAUUGAAUUAUUUAAAAACCCCUAUAUUUAAGCAAAUUUUCCUCAAAUGGUUAAUUUUUUUAAUGCGCUAUUAGUUUAAACAAACAAAUGGUUAAAUAAUAAUAUGACAUGAAAGAUUUUUUUUAUUUUUUUAUUUUAUUUAAGAAUUUUUUAUGAAGAAUGAAAAUUUGUGGUCAAGCAGUUCAUGGGGAAAAAUGGGGUGCUCGCCAGUUUUUUGGUGUGUUUGUAUGUGCAGAAGAAGAAAAGUAAAAGUACAAAUGACUUACAUAUGGGAUGGCCAAGUAAUGAGAUGGAAGGCACCAAGUUGGACUUUGUAGACAUCCUCUCCUUCUCCAUUUAUCACUUGAAUCCUCUUUGCGAAUUUUCUGGGCAUUAACUCAAACUUCAAUUUGUUAAGGAUAGUGAUAGAAAUCCUCUCCUUCGGCAAUCAUUUCUAAUGAUUUAUAGUUAGCAAUUGUUAAACUCUCUAAGACUAGGCAUCAUACCUUUGUCCAAUAUCCUCAACCUUAAAAAGCAAUAGAUGCUAGAGAGUUGCAGACAUUUGAGUAGAGGGAAAUCAUAUGAAGAGAAAAUCAUUUUCUCUCUCAAUAUAUAACAUAUGACAUGAUGAAAGAGUUGUUUGAAAGAAUUUUUGGUAGAAUGAAAAUCUGUAGUAAAAAAAUUCAUGGAUAAAUGUGGAGUUCUUGCCUUUUUUUUUUUUGUGUGUUUUUUUAUAUGUAGAAGGAUAAAAGAAAAAGUACAAAUGACUUACCAACAAUUAAUGAGAUGGAGGCCACAUGUUGGACUUUGUAAAAAUCCUCCCCUUCUUUUCCAUUUAUCACUUGAAGCCUCUCCAUGAACUCUUUGUGCAUAUACUUGAUCUCCAAUGCUUGAAGGGUAGUGAUAUACCUUAGUCCUUCAGGAACCAUUUCCAAUGAUUUGCAUCUAACAAUUGUUAAACUCUUAAGAUUAGGCAUUGCACCUUUAUCCACCCUCAACCUUCUUAAGUAAUCGAUAUAGGAGACAUGCAGAUACUUGAGUCGAGGGAACCCAUGUGCAGAGAAAACCAUUUCCUCCCCAAAGUAACAGUCAAUCUUUAAGUGUAGGGUUGUCAAGUUAAGAAGCUUCUCUAAAAUUGGUAUCGGAUCCUGUUUUAGGUGAGACUCCCAUAAGGUUAACUUUAUGAGGUUUGGAGGGAAGUGGUGGUGCCCAGGCAAACUGUUUAUUUCUCCUCCCAAGAAUAGCUUAUAAAGAUGUUGGCAUAUAGAUAACUGCCUUAGAUCUGUUUCUUCAAUUUUGGAACUUACAUCAUCCAAAACCAAGGAAUGAAGAAUGUUUGAAAUGGGACAAGAGGGUUUGAGAAUUACCCCCAACUCUUUAAAGCUUUUGACAUUAUUUAUCUUCAAUUUCCGAAGCUUGGCCAAGUGUGCCAAAUCCUUUACAGCCCAUUGCGUUGCAUUAAAGUUUUUUAGCGUCUCCAAGUUGCUUAGGCUGUCCCAUUGCACCUUGCUGUCAUCCAUAUUAAGAUAUUGAGGAAGGCAAAGAUGUCUUAGCCAUUUCAUUCUACCUAUCACAUCACGUACUUUAGAGCAAGUUACCCGAUGAACACUGACAAACCGUAAAUCUAAAGUUUGGAUACAACUUAAAUUUCUUAUGGAUGAUGGAAAGCAUAAUAGCUUAGCAUAUUUAAGACUUAAGUACUUCAAGUGUAUUAGGUUACCAAUUGCUCUUGGUAAUUUUUCUUCCAAUGAAAGUCCCUCAAGACUAAGCACUCUCAAUAGUUUGAAGUUCUUCAAGUCCAACUUCCUCAUCAUCCAGUGGACUGAAUUUUUUGUUGGUGGAUAGAAUAUUAGGAGAGAUCGAAGGUGCAUACCAUUCUCUACGUUCAAGUUGGCGUUGCUAUUAGCACCUUCAUUUCUAUUAACAAUCUCCAUAUGAAUAGAUUGAUCUAGAUAUAUGGCACGUCUUCGGACUUUAUUUGGAACGAGUGUUGUUACUCUAGAGGAUGAAAAUGUCUCCACUUCCUGAAGAUUAAUAAUCUCAAGAAAGUUUUCUUCUUUUGCCUUUGAUGAACAUAAAUCUUGCAUAAGGUCAUGUAGGCGACAAGUUUUGACUCUUCCGUUUGAACUUACUCUUCCUGCUUGAACCAUACACCUUCCAAUUAGUUCAUCCAGAUACCCUUCUGCAACAUCUUCCAAUGUUUCUUCUCUCGCCUCUGAUAUAAUCCCUUCAGCCACCCACAUUUGAACCAAAGGUCUGGUUGGUAUUUCAUAGUCCUCAGGAAAAUUGGCUAAAUAGAGAAAGCAUGAUUUUAAGUAGUAUGGCAAGUCUUGAUAACUUAAAGCUAACACAUCAGACACUCCACUGCCUUGCUGCUCGUAAUUAUCUUUGCCUCUCCUCAAGUAUGAUUUAAUAUUUCUUUGAACUCUCUCCCACUCAUAGAAUGUGUGUUUUGUAGCUAGAAGUCCACCAAGCACAACAAUAGCCAAUGGCAAACCUCCACAAUAUCUUACCAUUUCCUUUCCCAACUCCUCCACGUUGUCAAUGCUAGGAUCUACCAAAUUAUGAGAAUCUGAUUAGAAAUAUUCUGAUAAUUAACUAUUACCAAGAAAAACAAAAUUACUUGAAGAACUAGAGUAAUGCAUUUUCUUGGGAAAAAGUUCAAAUUCCAGCAUGGACCCAAGCUAGAAGCUCAAACUGGUCCCAUGUGGUACAGCCCUUGUUUCAAUUGACUUGUUGCUUUGACAACUCAACCUUGUGUUAUAGCUAAUUUAUAAAAUGGAACUGACAAGAGAUAGAAUAGAAACUGUUCAGAGGAAAGCCCAAUUUUGGAGGCACAAUGAGAAAUACCUUUACCAUCAUCAUUUCUAGUUGGCAAUGCUUUUCUCUGAAGAAGCUCCCAACUCUCCUCCCCUGUUAAAAACUUUGGUUGGUGAAAGAAAGCCAUGUUUGGAUCCACAAUUGAAGCUGCCUGGCACCGAGUGGUGACCACAAUCCUGCUGCCCUCCUUUCCAAUUGGAAAGGCAGGUCUUAGACUCUCCCAAUCUUGUCUUCUCCACACAUCAUCAAGAACCACCAGACAUUUCUUUUCCUCUUGAAUUUUAUACAAUCUCUCCAACACUUCAUCAUCACUCAUGUUGUCAAUUUCCCUUCUCUGCUCUCCCGAAGGAGAUAUCAAUUUGAUCAGUAUUCCUUGCACAACAGCUCUGAUGUCCAAGUAUUGAGAUAUGGGACUCCAAGCAAAAUGAUCAAAAUGACGCCUGACACGGACAUGAUGGUAAACCUUUCUAGCAAGAGUAGUCUUUCCCAGACCCCCCAUACCAUAUAUGCACACAACGGAGCAUCUCUUGUCUGGUUCCACCAGCCGUUCCACCAAAAUCUUUGUACUUUCCCCCACCCCAAUUGUAUCUUUAUCAUCGAGGUGGGAGUAAGUUGGCCUACGGAUCAGUUGUUGCCUGCUAUUUCUGGAACUUGAGCUUCCUUCUCUAAUUUUAUUUAUGUCAUACCUUUGUAAACUUGCAGUGAGACUGGAGAGUUUGUUUUUUAUGGCAUCAAUCUCUGUCCCAACCAUGUGGACUGCCAUAAGUUCAGAGAAGAUGAAAGCAUACCUCUUGAGGAUAUUUUGGAGACCCCUUCUCCUCCUCAGCGCAACUCUGAAGGCAAAAGCCUGUAUGACGUCUUCAGCAUCAUAUGCAGCCUCUCUAAUUUCAGCAAUCCAAUUGCAAAUCAUCUCAUCUUCAUCUUGUUUUGCAUCCGCAUCCUUUAGAAAACAUUUCAUCCACCUAAGCUCAGCCUGAAUUUCCGCAACUUUAUUAGUAACCCCAUAUAAGAAACUUGCCUCUUGAAUUAACAGAUCGCCUAGCCUUUCCACAGCAAAGGACACAGUAGCCUCCGCCAUUUUUUCUGCUGAUACUUGUUCCUCCAAGAGGGAGGAUGGAGGAGCCGUGGAAAAGUUGGAUUGCCUCUUUGAUGUCUUCUACUCCUCAUAUCUCACUUUUAUUUUGAUAUAAUUUAAGAAAAAAUACAUUGACACCCCUCUCAUUAAAUACAUGGCUAUUAUUUUUUGGAGGCUUUCUCCAAUAAUACACCCUCUUUGCACACGGGGAAUCAAACAAAUAAAGCAGAAACAUAAGGCUGGCAAGUGGGGUCUGUGAUACAUUUCCUGGAUGUCAUGUUUUCUUGGUUUCUCUUAGAAGAUUUCAAUUCUAAUUUUGAAUAUUCAGUUAUCUCUAUGACGUGAAAGAAUUUUUGGGCAGGAUGAAAAUUUGUAGUUAAACAGCUCAUGGAUUAAAAAAAAAAAAAAAUUGGAAUGCAUGCCAUUUUUUUAUUUUAUUUUGUGUUUGUAUAUGUAGAAGGAGAAAUGAAGAAAUACAAAUGACUUACCAAUGGUUAAAGCUAUGGAGGGCAUGUGAUAGUGAGAUCGAUGCAGGGCAUAAGUUGGACUUUGUAGAAAUCCUCCCCUUCUUUUCCAUUUAUCACUUGAAGUUUGUCCACAAACUCUCUCGGCAUAUAGUCAAUGCGCAAUUUCUGAAGGGUAGUGAUACAUCUCAGUCCUUCAGGAACCAUUUCCAAUGAUAUACACAUACCAAGCAUUAAACUCUUGAGACUAGGCAUUGCACUUUUAUCCACCAUCAACCUUUGUAAGGAGAAGGUAUGGAAGAGUGGUAGAUAUUUGAGUGGAGGAAAACCUUUCUUAGAGAAAACCAUUUCCUCCCCAGUGUAAAAAUCAGACCAUAAGUCAAGGAUUGUCAAGUUAAUUAGAAGCCUCUCCAGAAUUGGCAUUGGGUAUUGUUUUAGAUGAGAAUCCCUCAAGGUUAACUUAGGAGGGAAGUGGUGGCGUCCAGGCAAGUUGCUUAUUUCUCCUCCUAAGAAUAGCAUGUAAAGAUAUUGACACAUCAAUACUAGCCUUAGAUCCACUUCUUCCAUUUUGGUCUUUACAAGAUGUAAUCUCAAGGAAUGAAGGUCGUUUGAAAUUAGACUAGACGGUUUGAGAAUUACCUCCAACUCUAUAAAGCUGUUGACAUUAGUUAUCUUCAAUUUCCGAAGCUUGGUCAAGUGGACCAAAUCUUGUACAACCCAUUGUUCUCCAUCAAAGUGCUUUAGCAUCUCCAAGUUGCUUAGGUUGUCCCAUUGCACCUUACUAUUUUCCACAUCAAGAUAUCGAGGAAGGUAGAGAUGUCUUAGCCAUUUCAUCCUACCUAUCACAUCAUGUGUUAUAGAACAAGCUAUUCAUUGAUUAAUACUGGUAAACCGUAAAUCCAAUGUCUGGAUGCAACCUAAAUUUCUUAUAGAUGAUGGGAAGCAUAAGAGCCUAAAAUUUUUAAAACUUAAAGAACUCCAGUGUAUGAGGUUGUCUAUUGCUCUAAGUAAUUUUUCUUCCAAUGAAAGUUCCUCAGGACUUAACACUCUUAAUAAUGUGAAGUUCUUCAAGUAAAACUUCCUCAGCAUCCAGUGGACGGCAGCUGCUGUUGGUGGAUAGAAUAUUAGAAGAGACUGGAGAUGUGUACCAUUUUCUGGGUUCAAAAUUGAUGCAGUUAUUAGCACCUUCAUCUCUAUUUUUCUGUACUAUCCUAACGUCUGCAACAUGAACAGAUUGAUCCAAAUAUAUGGCAUAUCUUCAAACCAUAUUUGGAGUAGGUGUUGUUGCCAUAUGCCAAAGACCGAUAAUCUCAAGAAAAUUUUCUUCUUUUGCCUUUGUCAAGCAUAGAUCUCGCAUAAGGUCAUGCAAUUGACAAGUUUUGACUCUUCCAUUUGGAUGACUCCUUCCUACUUGAACCAUGCAUCUAUACUAUGGUAGUGUUAUCCUGUCCGGGUUACUACUGGCUACUGAUAUAUGAUUCUUUUGGGUGCAAACUCAUUUUUCAAUGGAUUUUGGUUAAGUUUUGACAGUUAAAUCAUUCUAGAGUUUCUGUACUUGAAUUUACUGCAGAGCUAUCUUCCACUCCCCACUUUUGCAUUGCAUAAUUCAUUCCAGGAUGUGGUGGCCGGCUUGAUAUCUCAGGAUAUAGGUGCAGUUCAAUUACUGUUGCUUGAACUAUACUAUGAAGAUGAUGUUGGAAAAAUGGCGGUUUCCCCCUUCUAUCUUUUUCUGGAUCAGUAUAUGGAAGCACAGGCCGUUUAAAAAAGCAAAGAAACAGGGGGAAAUUGUAUUGAGAUGACCAAUUUUAUUUGCACGCAACAUGACAACAAAUGCACAACCACAACCAAUUAACAGAAGAACAAUCCCGGAUUCAGUCAUAAACAAGCCAACACACCAAUUAAAAGGAAGAAAAAAAAAUCAUAGGAAUAUUAUGAUCAGAUCAUGAUAAGCAUCAUUUACGGAGUAGGAACAAGGCUGCUUCCUAACAAGCACCAACUGCCAUUUUGCAUCACUUCUCCAUCAUUGACCACGUCCGAUGGAUGGAAUCCGUAUUUCAUUUUCUUCACGGGCGGACACUUCUCCUUUCACCCUCAUCUUAUGAAAUACAAAAUCAUAGUUAGAAGCAUUUCUCAAAUUAUUUAUUAAUAAAAGAACAUUGAAAUAGAAAGGUUAUAUAAAAGCAAGCUCUUUGUCACUUGAACAAUUUAGGAUUGUGAAAACAAGUGAGAAGUUGGUUCGUAACUUCAGUCUAUGGGUGUCACAAAAGAUUAACAAAAUAUCAUUCUUAUUUUGAUUUCCGUGAUGCAUAUUAAAAAGCAUUAAUGAACAUAAAGAAAAGGACCUUCAUCUAUUUUAUGUUGUGUUUACUAUCAAUUAAAUAAUUAAAUAAUCUAAUUAUUUUAAAACACUUAUAUUUAAUUAAAUUUUCUUGAAAUGGUUAAUAGCCCGUUAGGGUAGUCCAAUUGAUCAAGACAAAUGCUGAGACAUGUAUCCCAAUAAGAUACACAUGGUCUCAUAUUCAAAUCAUAUCAUUGAUGAUAUUCUGAUUUAUUUGAUGAUCAACGGAGAGCCUUAAGGACUUGGCAAGAGGUUGAAGAGAGAAGUAACAUGACAUGAUUUUUUUUUUUUAAUAGAAUAAAAAUAUGUAAUCAAAGGGUCAAUGGUUAAAAAUGGAGUGUUUCACAAAUUAAUGACUUACCAUCAAUUAAUUUGAUGGACGGCACGUGUUCGACCUUGUAGAAAUCCUCCCCUUCUUUCCCAUUUAUCACUUGAAGCCUCCGUAUGAAAUCUUUGGGCAUAAAGACAACGUCCAAUGUCUGAAGGGUAGUGAUAUACUUCACUUCUUCAGGAACCAUUUCCAAUGAUACACGUGCAAGAAUAGCUAAAUUCUUAAGAUUAGGCAUUGCACCUUUAUCCACCUUCAACCUUUUCACGGAGUGACUGGAGAUCGCCAGAUCUUUGAGCCGAGGGAACCCAUUCUUAGAGAAAACCAUUUCCUCCCCAAUGUAAAAAUCAGUCAAUAAGGAAAGGAUUGUCAAGUUAAGAAGGCACUCUAGAAUCGGUGUCGGGUCCUGUUUUAGUUUAGAAGAUCUCAAGGUUAACAUAGUGAGGUUUGGAGGGAAGAAAAAGUGCCCAAGCAAGUUGCUUAUUUCUCCAUCUAGGUUUAACUUAUAAAGAUGUGGACACAUUGAUAGUUGCUUUAGAUCUAUUUCUUCCACUUUGGUACCAACAUCAUUCAAACCUAAGGAACGAAGAUUGCUUGAAAUGGGAUGAGAGGGUUUGAGAAUUACAUCCAACUCUUUAAAGCUUUUGACUCUCUUCACUUCCAAUUUUUGAAGCUUGGUCAAGUGGGCCAAAUCUUUUAUGUCCCAUUGUUCUGCAUCAAAUUCUUUUAACGUCUCCAAGUUACUCAGGUUGCCCCAUUGCACCUUACUAUUACCCACAUGAAGACGGAAAGGAAGGUAGAGAUGUCUUAGCCAUUUCAUCCUACCUAUCACUUCGUUCAUUCAAAAACAAAUCAUCGGUUCAUCACCACUAGGAAAAAACCGUAAAUCCAGGGUCUGGAUGCAACCUAAAUUUCUUAUAGAUGAUGGGAAGCGUAAGAGACUAGCAUAUUUAAAACUCAAGAACUUCAAGUGUACGAGGUUGCCUAUUGAUUUUGGUAAUUUUUCUCCCAGUGAAAGUCCCUCAAGACUUAACACUCUUAAUAAUGUGAACUUCUUCAGGUUCAACUUCCUCAGCAUCCAGUGUACUGUCACUUCUUUUGGUGGAGAGAAUAUUAGAAGAGAUCGGAGGGGUGUGCCAUUUUCUGGGUUCAAUUUGACAUAAAUAUUAGCAUCUUCAUCUUUAUUUUUGGAGACUGCUCUAGCCUCUGCAUCACUCUCUACAGGAAGAGAUUGAUCUAGAUAUAUGGCACGUCUUCGGACUUUAUCUAGAGUAGGUGUUGUUACCACAGAAGAUGAAAAUGUUUCCACUUGCUGAAAACCGAUAAUCUCAAGAAAAUUUUCUUCUUUUGCCUUUGACAAGCAUAAAUCUCGCAUUAGGUCAUGCAACUGGCAAGUUUUGACUCUUCCAUUUGAACCUGUUCUUCCUACUUGAACCAUACACCUUUGAAUGAGCUCAUCCAGAUACCCUUCUGCAACAUCCUCCAAUGUUUGUUCUCCCACCUUUGAUAUAAUCCCUUCAGCCACCCACAUUCGAACCAAACUUUUUGUUCGAAUUUCAUAGUCCUCGGGGAAAUGGGCUAAAUAGAGAAAGCAAGAUUUUAAGUGGUAUGACAAAUCUUGGAAACUUAAAGCUAACACAUCGGAGACUCCACUGUCUUGCUGCUUGUAAUUGUCUUUGCCUCUCAUCAAGUAUGAUUUAAUAUUUCUAUGAAUUCUCUCCCAAUCAUACAAUGUGUGGUUUGUAGCUAGAAGUCCUCCAAGCACAACAACAGCCAAUGGCAAACCUCCGCAAUAUCUAGCCAUUUCCUUUCCCACCUCCUCCAUGUUGUUAAUGGUAGGAUCUAAAAAAGUUCAAGAGAAAUUGAUUAGAAAUAUUCUGAUAAUCAACUAUUACCAAGAAAAAUAAAUUACUCAAGAAUUAGAAUUAUGCAAUUGCUUUGUGUAAAAGAAUAAGAAACUUAUAAUCAUGAAACUUUUCUUAGCCUUAAUGAAUAACUUGUUUUACAAGUCAUAGCAAUUAACUUAGAGUGUGUUUCACAGUAAUUUUUAGAAAUUUUUUUAAUCUUUUUAAUACUUGAAAAAUAAAAAUUUUCAAAUGUUAGAAAUGUUUUCUAAAAUUACUACCAAACAAACUCUUAGUUUCAAUAAAAUAAACUAAAAAAUUACCAAGCCAGAAUUUCCAAAAGCUUGAAAAAGUUCUAAGUUGAGCCAUGGACAUGAGCACUCAACCCAACCUAGUAGCUCAAAUUGGCCCCAUGUUUUACAGCCCUGGUUGCAAUUUAAUAAUUGUUGCUUUGACAUGUUUAGUCAUAAAAUCAAAUUGAAAAGGGAAACAGUAGAAAAUUUUGGGAGGAAAGGCUAAUGGAAACCUUAUGUUUUAGGGCCCCUGUUCCAAUUGACUUGUUGCUUUGACAACCUCAACCCUGUGGUUGUAGUUAUAAAAUCCAAUUGACAAGGGAUAGAAUAAUGAAAUACCUGUACCAUUAUCAUUUCUGAGGAAGGCUCUUCUCUGAAGAAGCUCCCAACUCUCUUCCUCAGUUAAACACUUUGGUUGGUACAAGAAGCCUUGUGGAUCCGCAUGUGAAGCCACCGCUUUGUUCCGGGUGGUGAGUAGUAUCUUGCUGCCUACCUUUUGCAGUGGAAAGGCAGGUCUUAGCAUGUCCCAAGCUUCUGUAGUCCACACAUCAUCCAGAAUCACCAGACAUUUCUUUUCCUCUUGUAUUCGAUAAACUCUCUUUAAUACCUCAUUUUCACCCAUCUUCUCAAUUUCCUUCCUCUGCUCUGGAGAAGGAGGCAUGAAUUUGAAUAAUAUUUCUUGUACAACCGCUCUGAUGUUGAAUUGUUGAGAUACGGAACUCCAAGCAAAACAAUCAAAAUGACGCCUAACAGCACCAUGAUGAUAAACCUUCUUUGCGAGAGUGGUUUUUCCCAGGCCCCCCAUACCCCAUAUCGACACAACUGAGCAUCUUUUGUCCGGGUCCACGAGCUGUUCCACCAAGAUCUUCACGUUUCCCUCCACUCCAACUGUGUCUUCAUCAACAACGUGGGAGUAAGACCGCCUGAGGAUACGUUGCCUCUCAUUUCUGGAACCGGAGCUUUCUCCUUCUCCUAUGCUCUUUAUGUUAUAGCUCUGUAAACUUGUACUGAGACUGGAGAUUCUGUUUUUUAUGGCAUCAAUCUCUGUCCCAACCUCAUGGAGUGCUUUAAAUUCUGAUAAGAUGCAAGCAUACCUCUUGAGGAUGUUUUGAAGGCCACUUCUCCUCCUCCUGGCAACCUUGAAGGCAAAAGUCUCUACAGUGUCUUCGGCAUCAUAUGCAGCCUCUCUAAUUUCAGCAACCAAAUUGCGAAUUGUCUCGUCCUCAUCUUGUCUUGCGUCUGCAUCUUUCAGAAAACAUGUCAUCCGCCUAAGCUCGACCUUAAUUUCUGCAACUUUGUCAGUCACCCCAUGCAAGAAACUUGCCUCUUGAAUCAACAGGUCACCUAGCCUUUCCACAGCAAAGGACACAAUAGCCUCCACCAUUUGUUUGCUGUUACUUGUUCCUACAAAGGAGAAAUGUUCAAAAGAUGAUCGCCUCUGCAAUCUCUUCUACACCUCCAUGACUGCAAAAAUGUAAAUCACCCUAUUUAAUUAUAUUUUUACAUAAUCUAGAGAAAAAAAUAAUUGCAUUUAUAUCCUUUGUAGUUUCUGAAAUUAAAAUGCACACUUUGUUAAACCUUCAACACCACCCUUCUCGUUAAAGUGAAGGUACUUGCAAGGGUGGGUUAAAAUCGGUUGACUCGAUCGAUAGUCCGAUUUGACUCAGGUGAAUCGUCUGAGUUACCGGGAUUUUCGAGUUAAACUCAAAAAUCAAAAUUUUUUCUUCCAAAUCACAACAAAAGAACAUCAAACCGCAACCAAAACUGAGAAAUUUCUGAAAAUCAGUGAUAUCUUAAAAAAAAAAAAAAAAUGUUUUUCAGAUGGAGAAAACAACUCAAUGAAGUCCUUGAAAAGUUUUUUAGUCCAAUCCGCGACGGUCUUUGAGAAUAAGAAGAGGUGGUUGAGAGCAUUUCAUCGCUAACCUCACAACGGAUGGACUGCAGCGCCUUGGUGUCAGCGGCGUGACUGUGGUGACUGCUGAGAAGCAUCGGAUCCCUCGUCCUCCAUUGCCGAUAAUUCUUCGGGAGAAUUGUGUUUUGGGCCCAAAAAUUAACAUUUAGUCCUCCAACCACUCAUAUUUAAACCCAAGACCCAAACAAAGUAUGAAAAUUAAGAUGAAGGAUAUUGUCUUUCAUUAAUUCCUAAAAUACUCUUAUCCCUUAUAUGCCUACAAGUGAGUGUAAAUUUUAAUUUUUUUGUGUUUUUUUCCUUUUCUAUUCCCUAUUAAAUAUUACUCAUUUCUAACUUUUUUUUCCUUUUUAUUCCAAUAUAUAUUUCUAUUUUAUGUCAAAUAAAAAACAAUAAUAUUUUUUUAUUUUUCAUUUUUAAAGAUAUUGAAUCUUUUUGCUCUUAUUAAAAGCAAUGAUAAAAAUUUUGGGAUUUUUCAUCCAAAUAUUUUUUAUCUUUUUGUAUUUAUCUUUUAGUUUAAUUUUUAUUUUUUAUUUUAAAUUUAUAUUACCCUUUCAUCUAUAUUUUUCUCUUAUUUUUAAUUAUUUUUUAUAUUUUCUACAUUAACCAUAUUUUUAAAAAUUUUAAAAUUAACUAUCACUUCACUUUAUUAUAUAUAUAUAUAUAUAUAUAUCUUUUUAGCUUUUUAAUUUUAAUCUUUUUAUUUUAAAAUUUUUAAAAAGAUAAAUUUGUUGAAAAAAAAAAACUAAGAUAUGAAGUUCUAAUAUUAAAUUAAUAAUUUUUCUUAUCUAGAUAGACUAAUGCAAAGUAUUUUGACCCACAACAAGAAAAUUGUCAAUACAAUUUUUUAGUUAAACUUUAAAAAUUAAGUUUCAAAUAAAAUAUAUUAUAUAAAAUUUUAUCUAAAAAUUAUUGAAAGUGUUAUUUAAUUUUUUUAUUUAUUGACUUUGAAACUUAUCUAAUUUUUUACUUGAAAGGUAAUAGAACAUGUUUACAAAAAAAAAAAAUUAGUUUUUCAUUUUUUAAAUAAAUGAGUAUAAAUAUAUUAAAAGAAUUAAAGAUAAUCUUAGUAAAAAUUUUGAUAAAUAUGAUUAUAAUUUUAAAUAUAGAUUCAUUUGGAUAAAAUUUCACAAAAAAAAAAAUAUAUAGUGAAAAGAAAUAACAUUGCUAAAACUACAAAAACAAAAUAUGUAAUUACAAAUUUUUUAUGAUGAAAUUUAAAAAUAAAAUUCGAAACAAUUCUUGAGUGAGAGAAUUUGAGUGGGGGAAAAAUCUUUGAGUGGAAAAAAAUAGGAAAUUUUUUCAAAAUCACUUGAAAUUCUUAACAAAAAGUAGUCUUGUAACCCUUGUACAAUUAAUAAAUUUGUCUUGUACGGUUAGUGUGAUACCUUGUACAAUAACUCAAAUAACUCAAAUUUUUAUUUCUUAUGUGUUAAUUGUUGCAAGGAAUGUCUUAAUGAAAUAGUUUGGUAAAAAAAAGAAAAAAAACUAUCAAUAAUCGUCUUAAUAUCAAAUUCAAGUUGUUUAAAAAUCGUACAAAACCUUUAAGAGCCUUGUACACCCUUGUACACUUAGCACAUUUCCCUUGUACAAUUAGUAUAAUACCCUUGUACAAUAACAUAUAUUUCAUAUUUAAACGUAUUUUCAAAAAGAGGCAAUAUAGAAAAUAAAAAUAAAAACUAGAAAAAUAUUUUAAAACCAAACUCAAAUAUAAUCUAUAUAAUUUUUAGUUACUUGUUUUCAUCUAAAAUAAGUAAAUAUACCUUUCAACCCUCUUAUAUAUAUAUAAAAAAUCAAUCUCUACUAUGUAUUAAUAUAAUCCACUUUUAAAAUUAGGUGAUAUGAAAACAUUUUAAUUGAGUACUUAAAAUAAAAACUCUCAAUUCAUCCUCAUUUUAAUUGAGUACUUAAAAUAAAAACUCUCAAUCCAUCCCCUUUCUUUAUUUUUCUUUUUCUCAUUUUAAUAAAUUUUCAAUUAAUUCAAAUCAUUAAAAAAAUCCUUAAUAAACAAAUUUGUAGCAUUUCAUAUGACUUAUUACUAAAGGUCAUAUUCAAAAAGUUGUUAAAAUAAGGAAGGAAGAAGAUUAAAAAAAAAAUUGAACUUUUUAUUUUAUAAUAGUAAAAAAAAACUUUAAAAUACUUUUUAGUAUAAAAAAAUAAAAUAUUGAAUAUAUUUAGUUUAAAUGGUAUUUUAAUCAUUAAAUUAUUUACUUUUAAAAUGUAAAAGAUAAAAAUAAAUAUAAAAGAUAAUUUUUAUUUAUUUAAAUUAAUAUUUUUUUAAAAAGUAUUUUCUAAAAUAGUCUUUGAAUCAUUAAUAUAAUUUUUGAUUAUUUAUAAUUUAAAAAUAAAAAAUAAUAUAAUUUUUCAAUUAUUUAUAAAAGAGUUUUAAAAAAAUGAAAAAUCAAAAAAUGGUUAAAUAAGAAAGAAAAGUGGCAAGUAGUAGAAUAAAGAUAAAAAUGAGUCAAAUGAGUAUUUUUGCCAAUUACUAUCUGUGGACUUAAAUAUGGGUGGUUGAAAGAUUAAAUAUUAAUUUUUGGGGCAGCUGGGCCAAAACACAAUUCUCCCUAAUUCUAAUUACAGGCGUAGUAGCACACUCAAUGAUGAAAGGCAAUAGAAAGUCAAAGUAGAAUAGAAAGCUGUCUCCAAUAAUACACUCUCUUUGAACACGCGGAGUCUACCACACACUCCAAUCAAACACAUAAAGAAGAAAGAGAAGGCCCUGCAAUUUGUACCAACCCUCAAUAAUGUCAGCAGACUCAGCACAGGAGCCACCCAUUAGCUAUCUUCGUUUCACUCACACCCGACCGGGCCCACCACUUUCACAUUUGCCUUUACAAGUGACGCAAUUAUUAAUUAAUAAUGAUUUUAAAAAAUAUUUUUAAUAUUUAAAAAAAUUUAUUAUUAUAAAUAUUAAAUACACUAUAUAAAAUCACUCUCAAAUACCUUAUAAACGGAUGAAAGUUUGAAUUUUGAAUUCUAAAUGAUCCAAAAUAUCAAAAUUAGAAUUUGAACUUUAAAAUAUUAUCCUAAUUGUCAAUUGAUUUCUACUCUUCUACUCCAAGCAUCUCUUUAGAAUUUGGACAUUUUUCAAAUGUUCUCUCCAACAGGACAGGGAAAAGAAAGGUGUAACAACUUGGGGGCUGCUAAAGUACAAUGAAACACAGCCCAUUUUGGUAAUUUCUUUGGGUGGGCAUCCAUUGCAAGCUACUUAUUAGAAAGUAUAUAAAAGUUUAAGAAGUUCCUAAAUUCAAAUAUUAGGAUUUGAUUUAGUUUAAGUAAUUAAGAUUAUAUUUGGAUACAUUUAUUGUAUUUUUGAGUUUUAAAAAUAAGUAGUAGGAACUCUUAAACAAAUAAUAGAGAUUGAUUUAAAAAAGAUAAUGAUUUUUAGAAAGGGUUUAAAAAAAUAGAAGUAUUAAAAACUUUUUACUUGGUCAAAUUUAAAAAUUUUGAUAAAAUUUUUUUAUAACAUAAACUAAGUCCCCAUUUUUUGUACAAGGGUUCCUAAAUUUUAUUUAGGAGAUGCUACUGGCAUGCUUCAUGUUUUCUUAUACUUGUUUUUAAAAACUAUUUUUUUAAGUUAAAAAACAAAAAAUAGUUGUUUAGUAUUUUCUAAGAAUGAGGGUGUUUAGCUAGUUAUCUUUUUUUAAAAAAAUUAAAAAAAUUGGAAAAUAAAAAACUUGUUUGGAUAAGUUUUAUUGAAAAAUAAUUUUUUAUUUGAUUUUGUAAAAAACAUUGUAUAUAAUAUUAAUUAAAUUUAAGUCAAGUUUUAUUAAAAAUAAAAAUACAAUGGUUAAAUGAAAAUACCUUCAAUUAAUUUUUUCAGGAUUCUAUGAGUGGCAAUUUUGAGAAAAAAAAAAAAAAAAGAGGAAAAAAGAAGUUUAAAUCUUGUGGUAGUAGAAGUUAAAUAAUCACAACCUCAUGUUAGGGGUUUAGUUCCUAGCAUAUUGCUUGCUAAUUCUAACAAGUGAAAUCAUGAAAACCUUUAACCUAUUACUAAUAUGUGAAGGGGCUCUUGGAGCAUUGAAGUCUCCUGAAAAUUCUUGAGUAAAUCUAUAGGAUGCUUGGUUGUUUGAAGCAUUAAGUUCAAUGCUUGAAAGCUUAUCUUAUUCAAUCUAUGUUUUGCUUGAAAGACCUUUGUUGGGGCAUUGUAUGGAUGGGUCUUGCUAGUGUGGUUUUGACUCUUUCCUUUUUGGGCUUUUGUUUCCAUUGGUAUGCUUCCUGUGUACUAGGAAAUCAAGGAUGGUUGACACUUAUUAAUUAAAUCUCUAUUGGGAUUAUUAAUAUGUUUCAUGAAAGAGUGAAAAUGUGUUUUUUUCUCGUAAGAGGGCUAUUUGCCCUAGAACUCGGCCAAGCCUUUUGGCUGACAUCUUCACAAGCCCUUUUUCUCUUCCAACCCCUACUGCAUGUCCAGAUGCGGAGAAAACAGGAGUCACGCUCUCCCCCUUUUUUCAGUGUUUCAAUGGCGGUUCUCAAGUGGGGCAGCGUUGAUUUGCGGAUUUCUCCAACCAUGUUAGUGGAAGAAGCUUCAGGGAUGGCAGUGAAGAAUGAAUAUGAUUGGCAGUGGCGUUGUACCAGGUCAGUGUUGCCAUCUUUGGUAGGUUUAAACUAUUGGGAGGGAAAGGGAAAGAACGGAGUAAAAGAAAAGGUAAAGGUGGGGACAUUGAAUAGGAGGACAGUACAACUAGGUCGAUUCUACUCUGUACAAUCCUUGAGGUAUGCUUCUGUCUUUUGGUAAUUGGAAUGCAAGCGCCUUGACCCACAAACCAUUGACAUGUUGAUGAUAUAUAUUGUGAGCUCAAACUUAAGCUUUUAGGAAAAUCGGUUGUAGAACAUGGUAUCUGAGCUUUGUUUGGCGAGAGGUUAUGUGUUGGAGCCGCCUCUGCAACUUGCAUUUCGCCCCUGUGUUGGGCCCAGUUCAACAUUCCAAUGGUUGACAUCAUAUAUGCAAGCUAAAUUGUUAUAUGGGGCGAGAGACAUGGUUGAAGAAGGUUGAAGAAUUGCAUCUUUUCCAAAGCUAUACUACUCCUAAAGGUUGGAGACAGGUCCAGGUGCAAAAAAUUAGUAUUAGUAUUUGUAGCCUCACUAUGCGUUUGGAGAAUUUAUGCCAGAUAAAAGUCUGGCAUAGAUCAGCCCACAAAGUGCCCAGUCCAAGGCAUUUCUAAAAUGGGGCGUGCUUUGUUACACUCUUUGAGUUGUUAGGAAUCUUUUCCUUUCCUGCUGCUGCUGCAGAGAAUAUUUGAAAGAAGUAGAAUUGGAUGUAAACAGAUCCUUUGAGUGGAAGAGGAGAAAGCAAUUGCCAAUCCUCUAUCUAGAACACUCAAUAACACAAGGGAACACUUACAAGCUUUCCCCCGGAGCAGAGAAUAUUUGGAAAAAGUAGACUUGGAUGGAGAGAUCCUUUGGGUAGAAGUGUGGAAAAUCAAUUGCUUAUAUCCCCAAGCAAAGAAGUGAUUCUUCUAUCCACAACAUUCAAAAACACAAAAAAAGACCUGUAAAUUUAUCAUCCAUUCAAAUUAAGAGCCAAAACAGGUUUUUCUGUGAAUGACAGAGAAGAAAAAUGGCAGAGGCUAUUGUGUCCUUUGCUGUGGGAAGGCUAGGUGACUUGUUAAUCCAAGAAGCAAGUUUCUUACAUGAGGUGAGUGACAAAGUUGUGGAAAUUCGGACUGAGCUGAAGCGGAUGCAGUGUUUUUUGAAAGAUGCAGAUGCAAGACAAGAUGAAAAUGAGGUUAUUCACAAUUGCGUUGUGGAAAUUAGAGAGGCUGCUUACGAUGCUGAAGACAUCAUAGAGACCUUUGCCUCCAGAGUUGCCCUGAGGAGGAGGAGAAGCAGUCCCCAAAACAUCUUCAAGAGGUGUGGUUGGAUCUUCUUUGAAUUUAUAGCACGCCAGAAGGUUGGGACAGAAAUUGAUGCCAUUAAAAAAAGGGUCUCCAAUCUCACUACAAGCUUACAAAAGUCUGACAUAAGGAGCAUUACAGAGGGAGAAAGCUCAAGUUCCAGAAAUGAGAGGCCACAACAGGGUAGGCCUACUUACUCCCACCUUGAUGAUAAAGAUAUCAUUGGGGUGGAAGAAAGUGUGAAGAUUUUGGUGGAACAGCUGGUGGAACCAGACAGGAAAUGGUCAGUUGUGGCCAUAUAUGGUAUGGGGGGUCUGGGAAAGACCACUCUUGCUCGGAAGGUUUAUCAUCAUGUCCAUGUUAAGCAUCAUUUUGACCAUUUUGCUUGGAGUUCCAUAUCUCAACACUUGGACAGCAGGGCUGUUGUAAGAGGAAUACUGAUCAAAUUGACAUCUCCUUCUGAAGAGCAAAGACGGGAAAUUGACAACAUGAGUGAUGACGAGCUAUUCAAGAGAGUGUAUAAAAUUCAAAAGGAAAAGAAAUGUCUAGUGAUUCUUGAUGAUGUGUGGAGAAAACAAGAUUGGGACAGUCUAAGACCUGGCUUUCCACUGCGAAAGGAGGGCAGCAAGAUAGUGAUCACCACUCGGAACAAAGCUGUGGCUUUACAUGUGGAUCCACCAAAUGUCUUUUUGCACCAACCGAGGUUAUUAACUGAGAAGGAGAGUUGGGAGCUUCUACAGAUGAAGGCACUCUCUACAGGUAUUUUUUAUCCAUCUCCAAAAUGUCACUAUUGGUUUUCAGAUUCCAAAUUUUGUUAUUUUUAUUAGGCUUUCUCAACAUAACAAUACUCCGUUUGGGAUAUCAAAAAAUAAUAAUAAUAAUAAUAAUAUAAGUGGAAGUCAGUAUUAUUGCAAUUGAUUUUGCAUACUCUAGAAUACUUUAUUAAAGAUAUAAGGUCAAUUGCAAUAUUUUGAAAAUUUUAUUAAAUAGAAAUCUAUUUUGGCCAUUUAGGUACUAUUUUAAUUUUUUGCUUUUAGCAAUAGAAAAAAAGAGAAGUAAUUCCUACUACAAAACCGUUGAUUCCAUGCUUAGGAAGCAUAUUCUAUUUUUUUUUUAAUAGGAGAAGAACAAUUUUAACUUUUAUUUUUUAUUUUUUAUUUUUGAUAGGUAAACAUUUUAAAAAUUAGUUAAAUAGCUGUUUGUGUUCACCAAACAGUAAGUCCCUUUCUUUUUUUCAAUGUGUGGGAAAAUCAGAUUAAAAAAAAAAAUGUCAUCCAUGUUUGAGAGUUGUUUUCAAAGAUCGUACUUGACUUUCAAAAUAUUAUCUUUUAGUAGUUUAGAAGCUCCUCCAAACAAUGUUUAGAUAUUUUUCCAAAAAUAAAUAAAUCAUGUUAGAAGUAUGGGACCCCAAGUUUAGCUCCAAACAUUCCAUUUAGAAGCUUUUCUAAAAGGGCCUACAUAUAGUUGUCAAGUUGCAAUUAGGUCUACACUUUUAGCAGUUUAACCUAACCCAACUCGACUCAAUACAAAUUAAAUUUUAGUCAAGACUUAUGUAUUUUGCAUUUUAUUUUAAAGCUUUUGGUUCAUUCUAUUGUUGGUAGCAUAUGAUUGUAGUUGUGAAGAUGAAUGAGCAAAUGGAUGUCAUAAAUUUACAUAUUACCAUAUUAACAUGUUUAAGUUCUAGAAUUCUAGUCAAAUGAAUUUUAUCUGUUGUUUUUAAUUUGUUGAAUAUGAGUUGUUUGGUAAAAGAUUUAGUGAAAUAGAUCUUAUAGAUCAUUUUGGUCAUUCAUUCUUACCCAAAAUUCCAUCUACAGUCUUUAAUUUCCUGAAUAUGCGUUGGUUGGUAAAAGAUUAAGUGAAAUGGAUGUUAUGCUUAUAUAAUAGUUAGGUUAAUUUUGAUGUAUCUUAUAAUUCAUUUUGGUCAUUUAUUCUUACAUCAGUUAGAAUUUUGAUGGUCAAUGAUUAAUAAAAAUAUGUCAAAAGAUUGAUUUAAUGUGGGUUUAAUCAAUAGUCUAAUCCUUAUUAAAUGUAUAUAAAAUUUGUUUACUUGUUUUUGGACUCAUCACAACCAAAUACAACCUGAUUUUAUAACCAACCCAAAUUACUCAACUCAUCUGACUUGCAUUAUAUUAAUCGAUUUGAGUCUAACUUGAUUCCAACCCAAGUUUGAAAAAAUAGCUUAGAUUGAGCUUAAAUUGGGAAGCGGUGAACAUUGGUUUGGGUUGAGUUUUGGGAAAAUGAGCUUCAUGUUUAAAUUGAGCUUGAGCUGAGUGUUAACCUAAUCCAUAGGACCUCAAAUUUGACCCUUACUUUUAAGUAAAAGAGAAAUUAAUUUGUGCCUUAGGUUGGCUUGGUAGCUCAAGUCCAUGUGACUUUGGAUUUUUGGCUAGGUAGGCGUCUCAUUUAUUUAUUAAAACUAUAUAAUUUUGUUAUUAUUGUUGUAAGAUUAUUAAAUUACCAUAUCAGUAAGGGUACACAUAUAUCAACCGAAAAUUAAUGUAUUUAGAAGAUUACAAAUUAUGAUUUUGUAUAAGAUAAGUCAUUCAUAAUCAAUGAUUAUCUGUAAAUAUCAAAUGAUAUGAGCUAUGGUGGGUAUGAUUUCCUUUUUCACAACAAGUGGUUACAUUAUUAACAUCUUUUUUAAGUAAUGUGCUCUUUAUAUUAUUUAUUACAAUAUUCACAAUGAAUGUUUCAUGAAUUUGUAGGUUCUACCCUUAACAAGGAUAUGGAGGAGCUAGGAAAGAAAAUGGCUAAACGUUGUAAUGGGUUGCCUUUGGCAAUUGUUGUGCUUGGAGGACUUUUGGCCACUAAACCCUGCACAUUCAAUGCCUGGGGAAUAGUAGAUCGAAAUAUUAAAUCAUACUUUAGAAGAGGUGAUGGCAAUUCCAAGCAACAAAGUAGUGAAGUGUCAGAUGUGUUAGCUUUAAGUUACCGAGAUUUGCCAUACCAUUUAAAACCUUGCUUCCUCUAUUUGGCUCAUUUCCAUGAGAACUAUAAAAUACCAACAAAUACUUUGGUUCGGAUGUGGAUGGCUGAAGGAAUCAUACCUGAAAUGCCUGACAAAGGGGUGGGAGAAGAAACAAUGGAGGAUGUUGGACAUCAGUAUCUAGAUGAGCUAAUUGGAAGGUGUAUGGUUCAAGUGGGAGUAAGAAAUUCAAAUGGAAGAGUCAAAACUUGCUGGUUGCAUGAUCUUAUGCGAGAUCUAUGUUUGUCAAUAGCCAAAGAAGAAAAUUUUCUUGAUAUUAUCAAUCUUCAGCAAGUGGAGACAUUUUCAUCUUCUAUGGUAACAGCAUCCACUUCAAAUAAAGUCCGAAGAUGUGCCAUUUAUCUGGAUCAAUCCGUUCCUAUAGAGAAUGUAGCAAAGGCAAGACUAGUCCCUGAAAAUAGAGAUGACGAUGUUAACAACUAUGUCAAUUUUAACCCAGAAAAUGCUACACACCUCCGAUCUCUUCUAAUAUUCUAUCCAUCAACACCAAAUACAGUUCAUUGGAUGCUGAGGAAGCUGAGCUUGAAGAACUUCAAAUUAUUAAGAGUAUUGAGUCUUGAGAGACUUUCACUGGAAGAAAAAUUACUAAGAGAAAUAGGCAACCUCAUACACCUGAAGUAUUUGAGUUUCAGGGAUGCUAAGCUGUUAAGCUUCCCAUCAUCUAUAAAAAAUUUAGGUUGCAUCCAGACGUUGGAUUUACGGUUUUGUAAUGAUGAUAACCUUGUAACUUGUACUAAAAUAGGUGAUGUGAUAUGUAUGAUGAAAUUACUAAGACACCUCUACCUUCCUAGAUAUCUUUAUGUGGGUACUAGUAAGGUGCAAUGGGACAAAUUGAGCAACUUGGAGACGCUAAAAGCCUUUGAUGCAAGACAAUGGGCUGUAAAAGAUUUGGUCCAAUUGACCAAGCUUCGGAAAUUGAAGAUAAAUAAUCUCAACAGCUUUAAAGAGUUGGAGGUAAUUCUCAAGCCCCCCUGUCCUUUUUCACUUCAUUCCCUGGUUUUGGAUGAGGUGAGCACCAAAAUGGAAGAAACGGAUCUAAGGCAAUUAUCAAUGUGUCGACAUCUUUAUGAGCUAUUCUUGGGAGGAGAAAUAAGCAACUUGCCCGGGCACGGCCACUUCCCUUCAAACCUCACUAAGUUAACCUUGUCUUAUUCUCUCUUAAAACAAGAUCCCAUACCGAUUCUGGAGAGGCUUCCUUACUUGACAAUCCUACGCUUAUUUAAUUCAUAUGAUGGGGAAGAAAUGGUUUUCUCUGGAACUGGGUUCCCUCAACUCAAAUAUCUGCAACUCUCCUAUAUUGAAUUCUUAAAAAGGUUAAGGGUGUGUAAAGGUGCAAUGCCUAGUCUAGUGAGUUUAACAAUCCAUAGCUGCAUGUCAUUGGAAGCGGUUCCUGAAGGACUGAUACACAUCACUACCCUUAACGAAUUGAAGUUUGAGUAUAUGCCCAUAGAGUUCAUGGAGAGGCUUCAAGUGAUACGUGGAAAAGAAGGGGAGGAUUUCUACAAAGUCAAGCACUUGCCUUCCAUCGCAUUCAGUGCAAUAUCUGGUAACCCAUUUUUAUACAUACAACUUCUAAUUGCAGAAUCUCACUCUGUCCAAAAAUUAUUUCUGGUUAUUCUGUUUGUUUAUUUAAACUUCUCUCGUCAACUGGCUGCCUAAAUACAGAAUUAAAAAAAAAAAGAUUAAAUGUAGGUGUUUUUGAAUUUGAUUGUUUGAUUGAUUGUAAACUCCACAAACAAUGGAUCAAUCUCUGUAUGUUUGCACUAAAGGCACAUGUUAUAAAGAUAUUGAACUAUUUAUGGAAUUACACACAGGUCUGUUGCAUGACAAAAAACAGCUUGCUUUCCUUUGACCCUUGUAUUUCAAUGUUCUGUUAUUGGCAGAAAUUGAGAUGAAAGUGACAACAUACUCGAUCUUCUGAAGAAGCAACUUACUACUUGUUACAAAUGCAUGGCCAAAACAUAAUGCCAUUCCAAUUUUGUGAAAGCAGCUAAUCAAAAUCAUGAAUUUGGACAGUAGAACUGAUGAGAGAUUGCUAUUUGAUGCAGAGGAUGAUGUUUAUCAAAUGCUUAUGAAGAUCUUAAAUAGUGAUCCAAGUGACAACAUGAAGAUUCUAAAGGCACUUAUAAAUGCCGAGGACGAUCAGUUGCCACUUCUUGAUGGCUCUACAAAUAGAAGGGUUUGCUCUCCAAGCACAUUACUGCAUCACCAGUGCACUUCAUAGUCAUAUAUAAACAAAUUACUAAAUACUACUUUUAGUAACAGUUUACACUCAGAAUUGAAGUUUUAAUAUACUCUUUCUUUAUAUAUAUAUAUAUAUAUAUAUAUAUAUUUCAUUUUGUUUUGUUUUUGUUUUCUUUUUUCUUUUUUCUUUUUUUGGGGUGCAAAACAGGUAAAAUUGGAGGUGCUGAAGGGGAAGAAUGUGUUUCUGCUCAUAUCAGGCCUAGACUUUCCCACUGAGGAUCUCUUACUUCUCAAACAUAUUCACAAGGAAUUCUGUUUGGAGCGGAGUUUGAUACAUAGGCGGCAUGAGUUUAUGUGGAUCCCAAUUGUGGAUCAUUCUUUUAAGUGGAAAGAUUCUCAGCAGCAAGAGAUGUUUGAGUGUCUGCAGGCCUCAAUGCCAUGGUAUUCGGUCUGCACUCCUGCACGCAUUGAUAAGGCAAUCAUCAGGUUCAUCAAGGAGGAGUGGCACUUCCAGAAUAAGCCCAUCCUUGUGGUGCUAGAUUCACAAGGAAAAGUGAUGAACCGUAAUGCUAUUCACAUGAUGCGGAUAUGGGAGGACACCGGCUACCCAUUCACCAGUUCGAAAGAGAAAGCUCUGUGGGGGGCAGAGACUUGGGGGCUUGAGCUGCUGGUUCAUGACGUACACCCAACCAUACAGAACUGGGUAAUUAUCCACCUUUACUAAUCUAAACACACAGUUACUUGAGUAUGAAUAACUUCACUUAUACCUAUUUGAGACCAAUCUCAAACAAUUUUUUGGGACAUUGGGAAUUUUAUUUUAUUUUAUUUUAUUUUUUGUUUCAUCAGAUCAAAAAGGGAAAAUUCAUUUGCUUGUAUGGAGGGACUGACAUGAAGUGGAUCCAAACAUUCACAACCGUAGCAAAGGAAGUUGCGUCAGCUGAGCGGAUCCCCUUAGAAAUGGUGUACGUGGGAAAGAGCAACGUGGGAAAGAGCAACCACAGAGAGCGAGUCCUACAAUGCAUAGCAUUCAUCAGUAUGAAGGAACUGAGCCACUGGUGGUCAGACCGCACCAUGGUCUGGUUCUGGAGCCGGCUGGAGAGCAUGUUAUUCUCCAAGAUCCAGCUAGGAAGGGAGGACGAGAAGGACCCCAUGUUGGAGGAAAUCAAGAAACUGCUCAGCUACGACAAGGAAGGAGGAUGGGCUAUGCUCAGCAAGGGAUCCUCGCCAAUUUUCAGUGGUUCCAGCGCCACUGUUUUGCCUACCUUCUUGGCGUACCAUGCAUGGAAAGAGCAGGUCCCGACGAAGGGUUUUGAUCAGGCAGUCAUGGAUUACCAUGACCAGCUUCGCAACGAUUCUGAUUACCCGAAGUUUGAUUUUAUUGAUAUUGAAUGAAAUCUUGUAUAUAUUUUUAAAAUCCAUUUAUAAAUACUAAGUAAUUUAAAAAUGAAUAAUCUUUUUACUAAGUUUAAAUAAAUUUAAAAAAGAAGAAAGAAAACCACCUUCAAACCAAUUAAACAGAGUAUCCUGAAACACUAUAAAGUAUACACCGAUAACCAAACAGGCCCCUGGAAGAGCAGCCUUUAGCCUUUCUCCCUCUCAUCUGCAGAAGCUCUUUUCCUCUUCCAACAAUGACAAGAUGUGCAGAUUUGAAGUAAAAAUUUUGUCAAUUGGAUUUGUAUAACUACAACAACAUGGUUGAGGUUGCCAAAGCAACAAGUCAAUAAUUGAACUCCCCAUGGCGUCACCGGCGUGGAUGUGCGCCACAGAGGAAGCUCCCUGCUUCUGCCAAACCAGGUGCUCCUCUCUGUGUCUCUCUUGCUGGUGUGGGUUGGUGUCCGAGAAUUGGGUUUGUUUUUAAUUUCAAUAUUAAUAACAAUUCUAAUUUUCAUAAAGUUAUAUAUAUAUAUAUAUAUAUAUAUAUAUAUAGAAGUUGAAAAGCUUAUAUUGAAUUUUUGAAAUAACUCACAUUAAAGGUGUGGUUUUUAACCUUUUAAAGUAUUAAAAAUAUUAAAAGUUUUUUCUAAAAUCACUAUAAAACGAGUUAUAAGAGUUUUUUUUAUAAUGAUUCUAAGAAGCAUUUUUUAACUUUUUUAAUAUUUGAAAAUUUUUAUCAUUCGAAUAUUAAAAAAACUAUAAAUAUUUCCUAAAUUCCCUAUCAAAUGCACUCUAAAUUUAAAUUUUGACCUUCCUCAUCCCACAUCAAAAAUCUAAGGAAAUUAAAACAAGUUUAUAAGCCUCAUUCAAUCACAAUAAAUCAACUGACCUUUGGGUCAUGAUAGGUAGUGCGUGGAGUGGUCCGUAAACAGUAGCCCACCUUGCGCCUGUAAAGUUCUUUUCUAAGAAAUUUGAAUUUUGUGGAUUAUAAAGUUGAUAGGAAUUAUUUUUUUUUUCUUUUGAGUCUAAAUGACCCAAAAUAUCAAAACUCAAACUUUGGAUUUUAAAAUAUUAUCAUAAUUGGUUCUUAUCUCUCAUCCCAUUUUGUGCCAGCAGCCGCCACUGCUGAGAAGAAGAAAUUUCCAGGUAUGAAGAUGAUUUUAGAAAGAUGGAGGUUUUUUCAUCUUUUGGAUAAAUAUAUGGAAGCAAAAAAAUAAUGCAAGAAAUCAGAGCCAAAAAAAGGGACUAAUUGGUUGCCUUUACAUCAUGAUAAAAGUGUGGAUUAAGGCUCAAUUUAAAAAGUGUUUUAAGAGAUAAUUCAGAAAAAAAAUUUUAGAAAUUGUUUUUUGAAAAUUGUUCUCAAAAUAAUAGUUUGUUUAAGAGUUGAAAAGUUUUUAAUCUGUUUUCUAUAUUUUUAAAUAUGUAUUUUUUUAAAAAAUAAUUUUAUAUUUGUAUAACUAUUGUUUAAAAUUGUUUUUAGAAAAUAAGUUGUUAAAAAAAUUAGGUUAAUCUGAUAUAUGGUAAUCACCCUAAAAGGGGGUGAAUAAGGUGAUGGUUUCUUUUUGCAAAUUUAAACUAUAUGAAUAUAAGAGAUAAUUAUAUGUAAAUAUAUAAUAAACAAUAUAAAGACAAUUGUACAUAAAUUAAAAGAGUAGGGAAGAGAGAAUGCAAACACAAGAUUUUAUAGUGGUUCGACGCAACCCGGCCUACAUCCACUCUCCUUUAGUUUCAAUCCCAAACUUGAGGUUCCACUAAUUCAAGGCUUUCAAAUCAAGCCUUCAACCAAUACAAUUGAAUUAUGGUUCCAAUUCACCUUUUUGGACUUUUGGUUCUAAGCACCCUUUACAUUUUUUAAGAGAUAUCCCACUCUUGAACAACCCCUCAAGUGAUACCCCACACUUGAGAAACUUCCUCUCAAAGAUUUACAAAUAAAUGAUUUCAUAAUAUUUUAGUACAAAAACUUUAAACUCAAAAGAUACAAUUUAAAAUUAGGAUUGAAUGGUGCAUUAAAGAUAUGCAAGUUUUAGAACAAUGGUGCACUCAAAAACACUCUUCCAAGGUUCAAAUAUAUUCAAGAAAGGUUUGGGAAGUUAAGUUUAUGAAACAAUAAAGAUUGAAACCUUUUUAUAGAAAAAAAAAAAAAAGUCAAACUAGCUAUUGGGGGUUCAACCGGUCGAGUUGAGGGUCGACUGGUUGACUAGCCAUUAGCAUUUAAUGCUUGGCAGGUGACCGUUGGACCUCAACCGAACCUCAACUGGACCUUAAUCGGUUGAACAACCAUUCUGGAAGAAAGAAAAAUUUUUGUGCACCCUCGACCGGUUGAGCUGGGGGUCGAUCGGAACUAUUCAUCCGGUUUAACCAGUUGAGCCAUUUUUGGCUCAACAACCAACUUUUUCAACUUAAAACCGUUUAAACAAGUUUGAAAAACAUUUGACACAAGAUUUUAAUUGAAAACAUGAAAUCAUCCAAUUUUAAAAAUAUUUAAAAUAAAAUAACUUUUGGAUGAUUUCGAUACAUAAGUAAAGAAUGUAAUGUAUGAAAAUCCUAGUACACCAACAACCUUACAAAGAAAUCUUAUGAAGCUUGGGUCUUAAAAAACACUUCUCCUUGAGGUGAUCUUCUUCUUCAUGAUUUUUCUUUGGUUUGAUUUGUCUUUGUGAUUGCCACUUUGGAAAUCGUCUUACCUAAUCACACUUAAAAUAUAAUCAUUAGUUUUAAACCUUAUUUUGUUAUCAUCAAAACCGAUAUUAACCAAACAUUGGUUUCACAUAAGUGAAAAUAACCAAUGUUUUGAAAAUUGAACAAUCAUUGAACCAAAAAAAUUUUAAAUUUAUUGGUUUGUCAGAUUGGUGAUCGAACUAUGAUGGAACUAGUGAUAUCAUAAAUAUAUAGUUUAUAUUUUAUUAAAAUUAAAAAUAAUUAUAAAUAUUUAAAAUAUGUAUAAAUAAACUUAAAAUCAAUAAUAUUUAUUUUUCAUGUUUAUAUAUAUAUAAAUUCAAAGUAUGUAUAUAGAGGAUUUAAAUAAUUCAAACUUUAUCCUAAUUCUCUAUUGAGGAUAAGCAAUAGGGUAAGUGAAACAAACUUAAAUAUAGAAUUGGAGGCUCUCUCCAAUAAUACACAUGGAAUCUGGCACACUCAAAUCAAACAAAAGGAUGGAACCCCUUUGCACAUGGGAAUCUGGAACACUCAAAUCAUGCAAAAGGAUGGAACAUGAGGCCGGCAAGAGGGGUCUGCAGUUGGCACCAACCCUCAGCAAGGUCAGCACAGCACCGGCAUAUAUAAAAUAUAUUUUCAGAAAUGAUUUUUUAAAUCCUAUCUUCGAAAAUGUUUCCAAACAAAACCUUGCUUUCUCAAAUUCCUUCAACUCUUUCUCAAUUUCCCCAAUGAUCAACAUCACAAAUCUCCCACAUUCAAUCUUCUCUUUCAACCUCCCUAGAUUGAAUUAAACUAGUUAAUCAUAUUUUUAGAACAAAGAAAAACCCACUGUUUGAGUGGCCGCUGGAUUCAUUACUUUCUGAAAAUAUUUUAUGUUUAAAGAACAAAGAAACAAGGGGAAAUAUUAUUGAAAUAUCCAAUUUUCUUCUACACAACAUAUAGACAAUAACAAAAGGGCACAAUGAGGACCAAUAGAAACACAAUCCCAGAUUUAUUAGUCACAAACAAGGCCAACACACCAAUUAAAAAGAAAAAAAAAUCACAGGAAUAUUGUCUUGAGAUCACAGAAAGUCAAAUUGCAUCUAGUACCACACUUCUUCUGCUUGAUAAAAUAGGAUGUAUAACAUGAGCCGUCACUCACAAGUACAGCAACUCCCAUGUAUCAUUACUUCUUCAUAAUCUACCCCCUUGAUGGAGUCCAUGAGCAAGUUUGUCUUGGAAGAUUGCUGCUUGUCUUGAGGGACCUAGCAAAUAAACACAAAAUCAUUAGUAGAAGCACUUCUUAAAUUAUCCACCAAGAACAUAACAUUUCUGAUAAGUCAACACACCAAUCUUAUAGAAAAAUUCAUAGGAAUAUUGUGUUCAGAUCACAAUAAGUUUAAUUUCAUGUUGUAGUACUCUCACUAUAGUUCACAAACAAUGUUCUAAUUAGGCUAACUGCUUACAAGUAACAACUCACAUUUAGCUUUACUUCAUCGGUAAGUCUGUCUUCAGUGGUUGUUGCUUUCCUUUAGCCUUUAGGUACCUGGUAAUUAAACAUAAAAUCAUGGUUAGAUGCACCUCUCAAAUCAUCUGCACAGAACAUUGAUAUACUAGGGUCAAAUGAAAUGAAGAAGUUGAUGUCAUCCUUUUUUUUUUCUUUUUUAAACAAAUAAAUUUAUUAAAAAGCAGUGUGAAUAUUGGUUGAGAAGGCAAAUACUUAUUUUUCAUAUCAUGCAUAGAACUAUGAGCAAUUCCAUAACUAGGUCAAUCUGUGAUAAAACCAUGUUCUUUUGGUGCAAAGAAAAGGAUCUUGAAUAAUUUAUAAAAAAAAAAAAAAAAUUGAUGUGUUUAUGUAUAUAGAAAGAAACAUGAAAAGGCGCAAAUGAGUUUCCAAACACUUUCACCAAAUGAUUGAGAUGGCGCAAGUCUCUUUACGAAUUUUCUAGGCAUAUUCUGAAUCAGCAAGACCUUAAGGGUAGUAAUGUACCUUAGUCCUUCAGGAACCAUACUCCAAUACUUAAAUCCUUAAGACUAGGCAUUGCACCUUUAUUCACCCUCAACCUUUUCAAGCGGGGGGCAUCAUAGAGAGUCAGAUGUUUGAGUUGAGGGAAACCAUCGUAUGCAACAUUCAAUAAUCGAAGGAUUGUCAACUUAACAAGUCUCUCCAAAAUUCCUAUUAGAUCUUCAUUUAGUUGAGAAUACUUCAAGGUUAACUUGGUGAGGUUUGGAGGGAAGUGGUGGUGCGUAGGCAAGUUGCUUAUUUUUCGAUUCAGGUGUAAUUUAUCAAGUUGUUUACAUGUCGACGAUUGCAUUACAUCUGUUUCUUCCCUUUCAGUGCCUACAUUGAUCAAAACCAAGGAACAAAGAUGACUGGAAAUGGGACAAGAGAGUUUGAGGAUUACCUCCACUCUUUGAAGCUUUUGAGAUCAAUCAUCUUCACUUUACGAAGCUUGGUCAAUUGUGCCAAAUCUUUUACGACCCACUUUCUUGCAUUGAAGUUUGCUAGUGUCCCCAAGUUGCUAAGAUUGUCCCAUAGCACUCUACCAUUAUGAAUAUUUAUGGGAACGUAGUUGGUUUCAGGAAGGUAGAGGUGUCUCGGCCAUUUCAUCCUGCAUUUCACAUCAUGUAUUCUCCAACAAGUUAGGGCAAUGUGAAACUGUAAAUCCAGUGUCGCAUGCACCCCAAAUUGCCUACAGAUGAUGGGAAGCAGAACAGCCAAGGUUCUUUCAAACUCAAGUAUUUCAAGUGUAUAAGGUUGCCUACUGCUCUUAUUAAUUUUUCUUCCAAAACAAGUCCCUCGAGAUUUAACACUCUUAAUAAUCUGAAGUCCUUGAAGUCCAAUUCCCUCAGCAUCCAGUGGACUACAUUUGGUUGGCAACUGAAUGUUAGAAAAGACCGAAGGUGGGUAUCAUUUUCUAUAUUCAAAUUGACAUACCUAUUAGCAUGCUCAUCUCUAUUUUUAAAAACUGAUGUAGCCUCUGCUAGACACUCCACAGGAACACCUUGAUCCAAAUUUAUGGCUCGUCUUCGGACUUUCUUUAGAGUGGUUGCUGUUACCAGAGGAUGAAAUGGUUUCCUCUUGCAGAAGAUUGGUAAUCUCAAGAAGAGUUUCUUCUCUUGCUUUUAGCAAGCACAAAUCUCGCAUAAGGUCAUGGAGGAGACAACUUUUCCAUUUGAACUCCUUGCUCCCACUUGAACCAUACACCUCCCAAUUGGCUCAUCCAAAUAUGCUUCUGCAACAUCCUCCAAUGUUUCUUCUCCCAUCUCUUUUUAAGGUAUGCCUGGUAUAAUUCCUUCAGCGACCCACAUUUGGACCGAAGUAUCAACUAGUAUUUAAUUCAUAAUCCUCAGGAAAAUGGCCCAAAGAAAGGAAACAUGGUUUUAAGUGGCAUGACAAAUCUUGGUAACUUAAAGCCAACACAUCUGACACUCCUUUGCCUUCUUGCUCAUUGCCUUUGCCUCUCAAGCAUGACUCAACAUUUCUAUGCCCCAUCUCCCAUUCAUAGAAUGUGUGUUUUGUAGCCAGAAGCCCUCCAAGCACAACGACAGCUAAUGACAACCCCCCAUAAUAUUUAGUCAUUUCCUUUCCCAGCUCUUCCAUGUUCCUGUUAAUGAUAGGAUCUACAAAUUCAAGAAGAGAUUCAUUAGGAUUUAGGAAUAUUCUGAGAAAUAUUAUAAGAAAAAUGAAUUACCUAAGAAUCACAAUAUUGUAAUAUGCAGAACUUAUUAUGCAAUUCAGAACAUGUUGUGAUUUAUGAACUGAUUUAAGGUAAAAUAAAAAAUACAAAAUACAAACAAUAAUAUACUAAAAUGGGCAAAAUUUAAGAAAUAACUUGCAUAAAAAGGAAAAGUGUUCCUUUAAUUUUAAAAUGCAAAUUUUGAAGCUAGUUUUAAAAUCAAAUUUCUUUGUUUCAAAAAUCUUUUAUUGAUGCUUUAUUUUGAAACGUCCAAGUGAACCAAUCAUUUCAUCUUAUGUGUUCAAUUUGUGAUGAUAUGUGAGAUUCAUCGUAGCAUGAGCAAUUAUAGUGUUACAACGCCACUGCCAAUCAUGGCCAUACUUCACCGCCAUCCCUUAAGCUUCUUCCACCACCAUGGUUGGAGAAUCCCUCAAAUCAACGCUGCCCCACUUCAGAACCUCCAUUGAAGCACCGUAAAAAAAGGAAUUUAAAAAAUAAUUAUUAUUAUUACAUUAAUUAAUUUUUAUUUAUUAUUUUAUCCUAGCAUUGAUUUUAGAAAUACUUGGCUCCAAAAGAAAAAUAUAAUCCCACUCACUCCCUGAAACUUGUAAAUGUGAUAGAAAUGGAUGGAGAGCAUUUCUAGCAAAUAAAUAAAGGUUAUUUGUUUUAUUCGCGAAAUAUUUUCAUAUAAUUAAUUUAUAUUUAUAAUUAAUUUAUCCUUCAAAUUAAAUUUUUUAUUAACUUGGGUAGAAAGGGGAGGAGGAGAAAGAAAAAAACAAAAAAUAAAAUAAAAGUUGGGUUUGAAUAUAUAAUAAAAAAUAUAAAAAAUUUAAUAAUUUUUUACAUUUAAUUCUCUAUUUUCAGAGUGAAUCAAUAAGAAUUUUUUAUUUUUUUCCAAUAUUUUCUUACCCAGAACUAAAAAUGUCUUGUUUUGUUUUGGGUUGGGCUUUUAUUUAUUGGGCCUGGCAUUUGUGAACUUCAAUAUAUAAAUGACGACCCACCAUUUUUUUUAUAUUUGAGUUUCCCUCCACUUCUGCCCCUCUUUCUCCCGCCAGAUGCCGUUGCUGUAGAAGAAGAAAUCCUCAGGUGAUUUUCUUUUCCAUUUUUUCUGAAAAAUUUAUUACAAUUGACUUCCAAUCUGUUUGUAUUUUGAAAUUUUUCGUUUUUUCUUUAUUUUUUUCUUUGGUUGAUUGAAUAUGCAUUUAGUUUCAGAGUCCUCUAGGGUUUUCUCACUUCAGCUACUGAAUUCUGGUGUUUCUUUGAUAAUAGCUGUAAAAGGAAGGUCAUUCACAUAUUUUGAGGUAGGCUCUUCUGAUUGACUGAAAGAAGUGGGGAAAAAAUAGAAAAUCUGAACUGGGGAAUUGAGAUAAUUGUAGAAUUUUCUUCAGAUUUGUUUUCUUCAUUGUUAUUGUGUCUGCCUCUAAUUUACAAGAUGAAUUAAAAUGCUUUGGUUAUUUUGUGAUUUUUUUUUUUAAUUUAACUUUAAUGCAAGAGGAAUUUAUUUAUUUUAGUCGGAACAAGUUAGGUUUAAUUUAUGAAUAACCGGGUGAUCUAUUUUUCUUAAACCCCAGCAUGACUCAAUAGGCUUUUUUGGGCAUCCACGUAAUAGAUUUGGGAAUCCUUGAUCUAGAAUCUGGAGUCACCAUCCCUCUUUCUUAGUCAAUCAUAUUGCAGAAAUUGAAAUUUGGGAUCAUCUGCAGAUUCUGUGAUCUGAUUUGAACUUUCAACAGCAAACAGAACUGAUUUGAGCUUUCAAAGUGGAAGAUGGGGUUCUCUGAAUUGAUUGCUAUUGCAGCUAUGCAUGCUUUAUUUUCUCUGGAUCAAUGGUUCUGUACUGCGCUAAAUGUUGGACGAUUGCACCUCCAAGCCUUCUUUGUUAUUUUCUUCUAAAUUAGAUAAUUAGGCACACUUUAGAUUCAUGGGUUUCUGAUGGAUUUUCAUGCUGGCCAAAAUUGAAAUGAAUUAUAAAAUUUUCUAUUAAAUUUGUGAUUAAAAAAUUACUAUAUUGAACAUUUUGGAAGUGGCUAGAAAUCAUGACCCCCUGAUUUACAAGUCAAUUCUCAUUAUACAACAAACUUUGUGAUGGCCUUUGUCGGUUUUCUGUGCAACGCUCUCUGUCUUGUAUUAAGUUCAGUAAGGAGCACAAGGGACUGAGAUCUCAGAUUCAUAUGCCUGCAACCAAAAGUCCAAAAGUUCCCGUAUCCAAACUAUGAGACUGCUUAGGCCUUCAUUUGAAAUAAAAGAUGAUAUGCCAACCACUAGGUACAACUAUAAAAACUCUAUUUCAGGGUGGAGUGGGAAACUUGAUAGCAGAGAAGAUGAACCUCUACCUGACAUAGCAGGAUCCUCUAGGAUUAAGUGUAGGCCUUGGAGUAGUUAUUUUUUAGUGGCUGGUUACUGCUCAUGAGAUUGAAUAAUGUGAUUUGACCUAAUAAUUAAUCAUAAUAUUUCCCUUGGUUUGCAUUUGCAGUCUUCCGGAUAUUGGAAGUUUUGACAGCUAAGUUAGAUGCCAGCCUGAAAUACAUUGACCAAUUGCCUUACUAAGCUGGCUUCACAAAGUUGGAAAGGACUUUAAAAAUGGCACAUUAUUACAACAUUGAUGAAAUUAUUGUAGAGGAAGAGGUAAGCACUUUUAUUUUCUCAUACUAGAUGGUUUUACUUGGAAAAAACCUUUCCCUGAUUCUAAUUUUUUACCAUGUUUUGCAUUUUAUGACAGCUCGUCUCUGCUGUGUUCCAAAAAGCGGCAAAUGGAGUUGGAAUCCUUGAUCCUAGUGCUGAAACAAACAGUGUAAAUUCCAAGGCUCUGCUUUGUUUUGGGUGAAAAUGACAGAAAGAAAGAAUAAUGCUUUAAAUGGGAUGCUUUCUAAAUGAUUUUUAAGAAAUAACUUUUCCUAGUUCUUUCCAAGAAGCAAACAAAAGAAAACUGAAGCUAAGGGGAUAAUUUAUUGCUGGCUUCUGAUAUUUUCCUGAUUGUAUUUUUCAGGUUGAACAAGGUUCAAAGGUAGAGCUGCCCUUCUGGCUUGCUCAUGAGUUACUCCAGAGACAAGCAGUGACAAUUCAUGUUCCUGCCUGUUUCAAUCAAAAGUAAACCUCUAACAGCUGUCUGGAUUUUAACCUUAGCAACAGUAAAAGGCAGACUUUACAUUGAUCAUAUAGCAUGUGCUCACUUUACAAAUAGGUACAUAUAUGACAUGAUUAGGAACAUGUGGCCCAUAAGUUAUAGCUAAAAAACACCUUAGGCAACACUUGACCUUAGUCGUGCAGUUUAUUUUCAUCGAUGGGACUCUCCCCUAAAAAUCCAUGAGGUGUUGUUGAUCCAUGGCAUCAUGCUCUAACAUCCAACUGUUAAGGUUUGUUGUCUACAUUAUUUUAUUUUUCCUUUCCAUCUAAAAGAAUGUGGCGGGCUGUUUCAAACAACUAGUUUCACUUUGCUGAGGAGUUCAGUUAACAAGAUGGUCUGACCAUGAACCCUUGCAUAUGUUUCUAUCUAAAAUAUAAGCAUGAUGAAUUGCCUGUUUCUGUACUAAUAAUGUGGCCUUGUCUUCCCCUUGUUGGACUUUAAUACCAGAACCAGGAAGGAAAUCCAAGCAGAUGCUCCAUGUGUGGAUCUAAGGAGCCGAUGUCCAUAUUUCUAUGAACUGGGGUGCAAGGUAGCCCCAUUGUGAGUUUCUCUUCCCAUUUAUUUACUUCUUGUGUGCAUAGUUAACCCAGUCGAUGAUAUCUUGUACCUUAAAACUAGAUAAUGUUAAGUUUCUGCUCAUUAUUGCUUAAGUUACUUGAUGAUCUUUUCAUUCAUUAUUGCCUUUACAUGGUGCUUCAUCAAAUUUAGAAGGAUGGAACUCUAAGCUUGGGGAGUUCAAUCUCCAAGAUGUAAUGCAAGGCUCCAGAAGUGAGACUACACUAUACCAAUUAUAGUUAUGUUUUUUUUUCAUUUGUUGGGUGUAUUGAGGUUAUGUCCAGAGCAUUUUUCUGACCCUUUUUCUGCAGUUGGGAUGGGGGUUGGGCUGAGAGCCAAUAUAUUCUAGGGCCAAAAGCUCCCAACCAAGCUGGAGGGAAACAAUGGGGAAUCAGUGGAGCAUAACCUAGAACAAGCAAUGAAACCCGCACAGGCACCUAGUUCCUAGUUUGUGAUUAUUGUCCAUGAUCUUCAAGUUCAUUAGCUGGUCUCGGAGAUCAUUAGAGCAAGAGCAAAAUUCUUGUAUUGUUGCCUCAGUUUGCAUAGCAAAAUAUCCUACUUGCCACAUAUGGCAAAUUAAGCCCAUGGUGCUGCUUUUUGAUUUCAGAAGAGAACCUCCCCCAAGAAAACCAUAAACUUUCUGUGCUGGAGCUCGAAGACAUUCUUGUGAGAUAGCAGAACUCCAUCUUUCAUCUGCCAUGAACUUUCAGUUAAGGAACUGCCAGAGAAAGGAUGGUUAUGAUCUGCAAACCUAGAUCCCAUCUUUCAUCUGGACCAUGCCUAUGAAUGAUCAGAGCAAUCACGAUUCUACCCACCUAAAUAUAUGCCCUCUGUAAAAUCAUUGUUCUUUCAAAAUUUGUGAAACAAUGACAACUCAAUCGGAGUUGGAAAACAAUGCAGAAAAUCCUCAAAAAAAAAAUAAAAUGAGGAACAAAAACAAAUUGACCUUUUGUUGAUCACCAUUUCUCCUUACAUAACUUGAUAACCAUUGUGCAUCUGACUUCAAGGUUUAAUUGGGUUUUUGUCAUUUAAAAACGCAGCUAGAUGUUACUAAAUGUUGAAUUUACAAUAAUUACAUUUCAUGAGUUACAACAUUGAUUCUCAUUAAGCUGCUUUGAUGGUGGAUAGGGUUGGUGAUAGAACCAUUGGAUCCUUGCUCCUUCAGGCCUUUUUGAGCAGGUACAAGGAAGUUUUGAGCAAGGCACAUACAGCUGCAUCCACACCGGUUCCCAAAGUCUUGACACUUCUAACAAAAGAAGAAACCAAUUGUAAGAUUGAUUUGACAAAUUUCCAAUAUAUUAUUUUCUACUAUCACCUCUCAUAUUUAUUUUAACAUUGUACAUUUUGAAGUGUAUGAGACAGCCCAAUCCUCUAUGGCAGCAUUUAAGAAAUGGCGGAUGGGUGGACCCAGAUUCCAGAGAGCUUCUGUUCUUGGGAGGAAGAGGAAACCAACUGAUUAGCCGCCCCCAUUCAUAUGACUGUCACGAAGAAACUACUACUUGGAUAUUGUCUGUAAGUGAAACAUAUUAAUGAGCCAUUUCGAUUACAUAAAUCUGUGAGAAUUAAGAGAAUCAAUGCAAAGUUCUGACUAGUACUUGAACUAUUAGGAAGGAGGCUUCAAGCAUCUUGAAUAAAAAAACAAUGGUGGUUGAAGUUGAUUGGUGUUUGCACAUGGAAAUUGUUACCUAACUUUCUCAUUGUUCUCGUUUUGGUACGAGUUUGAGACAAAAGCAUCCUUGCAAAAAAAAAGUCUCAUUACUUUUGAAAAUAUUCAUUAAUUAGUCUUCCAAUCACAUCGGCACCGUCUCAAGUAAUGGUUUUAACACAAAAGGAAAUUAAAAAAAUUAAUAUAUGAUUAAAAGGAUAAUAUAUAUGGAUGUAAUUUUUGUUUCGAAGACUGCUACUGAGACCAACUGAGCGACAAUUUCAUCAGUUUAUUUGGAAUUGAAGGCAACUUCCCACUCACUUUUAUAUAUAUAUGUUGAUUGAUUGCAAGUCCCUUGAGGGUAAAUUUAAGCAUAAUGAUAAAAUCAGUCCUCUUGAGGGUAAGUUACAAAUCCCUAUCCCGGGGUUGGACUAAAUUAUUACAUAUUUCUCCUCUAUUAUUUUAUAUUAAAUAAAAAAUUUAUCCUUUGCCUUUUAUCAAUUAAAAAAAACCUCAAAUAAUUCAAAAACAUAAUUUUUUUUAAAAGAAAAUUUAGUGUGUUUAACUUUAUUUCUAUUCAAGUGCUUUUAGACAAGUUUUCAAUCAUUUUUAAAAUUUUUGUUAAAACAUUUUUUUUUUUUUUUCUUAAAAACACUUUUUGAAUUAAAAAUGUUUUUUAAAAACACUAUCAAAACGAAUUCUUGUUCUUUUUUUGAACUUUCACCUUAACUUCGUUGGUUACUUUAAAAUUUUGAUAAGUUUAAUAACUAAAUUCAAAGUAAACAAAGACUUAAAUUAGAGUUUUAUAUAUAUCAACAAUAGGAAAGUUUUUGGCCCAUUUUAGCUCUGAAGAUGAAGCUAAAUUCAUAAUUGUUAGAGGUAGAAGUUAUAAUUGUAAGAAAUGUUUCACGAAAUCAUUUUUUGAAUAGUUUUAAAUAAAACUUUGAUAGUUCAAUUUUUUUUGGAGCAAUAGGUUUUAUUUGAAAAGUGUUUUAGAAUAAAAAUUGAUGUUUUAUAGAAUAAAAAUUUGUUUUGUGAUGAGAAUACCUUCAAAUAUUUUUAAAAAUAAAUUUUAUCUAUUUUGUUUUAAAUCAUUGUCUAUAUUUAUAUAAUCAAUUUUUAUACCUCACAAUUUUGGUUUUACUUAUUUAUUUUUUUUGGUAAAAAAUUACCAUCUCCCAAUUUUUAUAAUUUUUUUUUAUAAAAUUAUCUCUUCAAAAAAAUGAUUUCUCACUUUUUAAAAAGACGAUUUUUUUAUAAUAAAAAAAUAUUUUUUUCCUUUCUUAUCUGACAAAAAAUUACAAUAGAUUUAAAAUUAUUUUUUCCAUUAUGACAGUUUAAAAAUUUGCCAAAAAUCCGAUUUUUGUCUUUCAAAUCCAACUAUCCAUAUUUGAUGUCCCACGACGUGCAUCACAGAACGAACUGAUAUAUUGACGUGGCAGCCUAGUGUACGGUUGGCGGUACUAAAUUUAUAUAUAUAUAAUAUUAAAUAAACAGAAAGAUAUUUGGAGACGGAUCCAGCAGAGCAGCUUGAUUAGUAGUUGCCCACUCCACUUUUGCUCUUUUUCAUUUCUUAAAAGUUAAAAUAUCCCUUCUCCAAUGAAACUCCUCCAGAAGAUAUUUUCUUGAUUAACUUCGUCCCACUACCACCACACCUCCACUUCAGCGCGUGCCCUUCAAGCCUCCCUCUCUGUCUCUUUUAUCAAGUCAGACAAGUACGGAGAGAUACAUGCCUGAGAAAGCGGGAUUCCUCACCAUCGCCGGCCGAAUCUAACAUGGACGACGACGCCUCCAAUGGAUUCCGCCGCCACCGCCGCCGUCGCAGUCGACAAAGCUCCGCGACCGUUGAUCACCGUCGAGCAGGUUUCGGCCCCGCGGACGAAGGAGAUGACUCCGGCGGGGAGGCGGAGGAGGGCAGCGCUGAGGUUUGGGAGACCUUCAACGACAGCUUUCGGCAGGUGCAGUCCGUGUUGGAUCGGAACCGCGUUUUGAUUCAGCAGGUUAACGAGAACCACCAGUCCAAGAUUCCUGAUAAUCUCGUCAAGAAUGUUGCCCUAAUUCAGGAGAUUAAUGGAAAUAUUUCCAAGGUUGUUUCGCUCUACUCCGAUCUCUCCACCAACUUCUCCGGCGUAUUUCAUCAGCCACACGAGAACGAAAACGGAGCGGUUGUCGCUAAGAAAGGUAGUGUCAAGGGGAAGAACACGGAAGCUUGAGUCGAUAAAAAAUUUCUAAGGUUGAAUUCAUCUUAUUUGUAAAUCAGUUUCUGUUGUUGUAGUGUGUUUAGGUUUCAAAUUACUGAAUAUCAAAACACUGCUUCUGUUUAUGUGGGUGUUGGAGUCUCACUGUUGGUGUUCGUCUCGGUGGAAAACUGUUAUGCUCAUGCUGUGUUUGUUGUCCGUUGUUGUUGUGUUAUAAGGAGGAUGACUGCGGGACGGCGGGACCGACCCCAUUAUCUUCCUCAUCGACUAAUAGACAAUUGAGGUAUUUAUGUUCUGUUUGUUUCUUUGUUAUGUGUUUGCUCUUUGAUAUGGGUAAUUGAUUUAGUGUACCAAGAUAGGGCUUUGUCUCUGACCUGAAAGAAUGAAUGAACGCAACUGAAUCAGGACAGAAUUGUUACUUCAGAUGCUCUGUUUGUAAAUAGUUUAGGUGCUCAGUUUUUUAGGGUGAACAGCAUCAUAGAUUCAUAGAUUGAUUAGAUUCACCUUAUAAAGUGCACUUGACAAUUAAGUUCCUGCUCUGAAAGUCUCCUUGGAAAGUUAUCUAUUGAAGGAGGAGCAGAGUGGAUACAAUCACAAGUACCUCGGACCAUAAUUGUGAGGUAUAAAAAAGGUUAAGGUUGCUCAUCAAAAGGGGUAAUAUGAGGGAGUUAGGCCAAAUUCUUGUAGUUUCCAUUUGGAGAUAGACCUUGGUUUGUGCCUUCAAUGUUUUUUUCAAGACAUGGGUGUUUGUUACGUUUGCGUCAUAUAUCGUUUCAGUGAGCAAUGAAAUGUCGUGCUUAUGCUGUUUGUUAUCCUUUUGGUUAUAAGGAAGAGUACAGCUGGAAUGCUUGUUUUCUUGUUCGAAAUUGCAGACCAGAUGAGGUGUCUGGGUUCUGUUUGAUUAUUUGUGUUGCUUGUGAUCUGUAUCGUGUGAUUGGGUUCACAGAAAAUGAAUUUCUUCAUUUUGGACCUGAGCUUGCAGUUUCUAAUAGAGUGUAAAAAAAAAGGAUGUGUACAAGGAAGCAUGAAUUAAACACUGGUGCAAAUGCCCUGUUAGCUAUGGAAAAGGUUGUUCUUCCUCCAGAUGGGUUAAUGUUGACAUUUGUUUAAAGCUCUUGUUGUGGAUGAAAAUAGACUUGUGUAGCUGAGCGCAAGUACAUGGAAUGGAAAAAAAGGGCUUUUUUGAGUAGUUCAAUGAACACAACCAAGAAGUACCUUACUUGGGCAUAUGAAGCUCACUAAGCCAUUUUUUGUUUGUUUCUUUGAAUCAAAAAAGUUUUCUCUGUUCAUGUUCUGCACAAGUGAAGCUAACCUAGUCAUUUUGUUUCUCUUUGUAUCAAAACAGUAUUCUCUGUUCAUGCUCUUGGAGGGCUAAUAUUUUCCCUCUGGAAAUGGCCGGAUGGAAGGAGAUAUAUUCUCUUUAAUCUCCUAUUUUUCCCUCUUCUCUUGCAUAAUAACCCAGUCUUAAAAGAACUAAAUUUUUUUUGGUGGUUAUUAAAAGCUCCAAAAUUCGCACAAACCAACUCGGAUGAGAAGCUUCUUGUUCUUAACUGGAUGUUUGGUUCUUGGAAAAUUUGAGAGAAAAAAUAAGAAAGAAAAAUGGAAGAAAAGAAAAAGUAUUAGAAAGAAAGAAAGAUAGAAAAUUUAAAGUCAACAAAUUAUUUUUAUAUAUUUCUUCAAACUUAUUUAAUUUAUUUUCUCUUUUUUACAUAAAAAUAAAUUAAUUUAAAAAAAUAUAUAUUUGUAAUUUACUUAUAUUUGUUUUUAUUUUGUAUUUUCCGUGAUAAGACAAACAUGAUACAAUCAAUUUUCUUUUCUUAGUAAUGUUUUUUAUGUCCUUAUACUUUCCCAGAACCAAACAUGACAGGAGUUUUGUUGCCUUGCACGGCAUCUAUACAAGUAAUAAGUUCCUUUGGGGCAUGUUCCUUGUAGGAACUGGCUAGAGGAAAAUAUUUCACUUUACCCAUUAUCUUCAUGAGCCCAUCUUGAAUUCGGAUUGCCUCAGCCUUGUUGUGGGUGGAUUAUUGUGUUGCGACUCAGAAUGGACCGAUUUUGUUUCUUGAUUGUUGAACUUUGAUGAAUUUGUUAAGAGGACAAUCUGAAACACUGGAAAGAAGUAAGAAAUGAUGUGGUAGGGAAAUGUAGAGCAUUCCAAGUAGGAGAUAACGGUGUAGGAAAUAAGACUGAUCCAAAUAAUAAGUGAUUUAGUGUGAGUCUAAGGUUCUAUAGUUAGACAUGGUGAAGAAAUCGUCUUAUGCCGUAGGCUAAGGCAUGAAUGAUUGAGUGCAAGAGUGAUUCAAGAUUCAUACUGUGGGAUGCCAUAGACUCGGGGAAUGGGGCGAUGAGUUAAUUCGUUAGUUUUAUUGAUGUUGGUUGCAUAUUGUAAUGCUUGACAAAUUCUCUCAAAAAAUUCAUUGGGGAGACGGUAAAACAGUGGGGAAAAUUCUAUUACUUCUUUUACUCUCUCUUCUUUGUUUUCCCCCCACCUUGUCAAUUCAAUUGACCGAGGCCUUGCUCAAGGAAAUUCGAAUUUGAUUAUUUGCUGUUGAAGUUGGGGAUGCCUUCACAAUUUGCUACAAGUUGACAUGCAUUCUGGAGAACACCAAUCGCUCUUUCUUCCCAUACAUGUUUAGAUUCAAGGUCAGAUCAGAUUGGCAUGGUGAGGACGUCAUCGUGUAUUUAGCUAUUUUUCACUGGAGCUGCUAGAGGAUAACCUGGAAUGGAGCAUUUGAUGCCCAGUUAUCAUGGUCAAAUGGAACCUUUGUAACUUAUUUUCAACUGGAAUUCAAUAGUCUAUAAGGCAAUAUAUGUAAAAGUUACAUGCUUACAAAGACCUAUAUUCUGAAGUUUUUUCAUGUAAGGCCUUUUCCCAACUUCUGCUGAACACCAUAAGAAAGUGAACCGAAGUUAUCGGACUCGUCUCUGAGUUCAUAAUACAUAAUGAUCACGUGGUACAUGGUAACAAUUUUAUUAUACAACAAAAGAUGAAAACAGUAAUUAUAGAGGCAGUUCACCACUGUCUGAAAUGACAACUUUUUGAGUGGGCGCCCCAUUCCUACUUCCCAGCUCUUCAAUUUUGUAGACCACCUCCAUCCCGGAAAGCACCUUGCCAAACACAACAUGUUUGCCAUCCAACCUUCAAAAAAACAAAUAAAGAAGCACGGUUACAUGAGUUCAGAAACUUACACAAGCCUGUAAAAAUAUAUUCUCAAACAGAGUAUUUAAUCAUGCAAAUCCAUGUCCUGGUCCUGGAGGCAAUCACACCAAGAAAUUGUGUGAAUCCAGCAAAUCUAUAAUUCUGGAUACCAUAUCACUUCAGUUUGUUAAGACCUGGGACAUCACAUACAAAUGACACUCCCAACUCUUCUGAGAAUAUAAAACAUUAUCUAGAAUGCCAUUUGUCUACUGAAAAAAUCCUACUAGUAAGGAGGAAAUAGUUGACUACCAAUGAGUUGCUACUGUUGUAAUGAAGAAUUGCGAUCCAUUGGAGUCGGGCCCAGCAUUUGCCAUUGACACAAGUCCUGUUAUCAAAAUGAAGAAGUGAACAAAGGAUUUCUAUUGAAUACUCUUUAAAGUGCACAUCAUAACCAGUUAAUUGCAACUUGUUUGAGUGGAUCUUGCAAAGAAGAAACCUAGUCAACAGACUUUAUAUUUACCUGGACUAGUGUGAUUCAGUUUAAAGUUCUCAUCAGCAAACCUCUCACCAUAGAUUGACUCUCCACCUCGUCCAUCACCCAGGGUAAAAUCACCUCCCUGGAUCAUAAAGCUGGGAAUAAUCCUAUGGAAUGCGCUCCCUUUGUAAUGAAGAGGUUUCCCACUCUUUCCCCUCCCCUUCUCCCCUGCAAUGCAUCAUUAACAGGAUCAGCCUAAAAAUUAUAAACCUAAUUUAGAAGACAUAGCAUACCAUCAAGAUUAUGACUUCAACCCUUUUCACAUAAACAGAAAACUUAAGCCCAGUCCAUUUCACACAGGUGCGUCUCCCAAUGGAGCUGAAGUCUAAUUGGAAAACUCCAUCAACCUCCCCCUCCUCAUUUUGGUACCACCCAUACCCCAAAUUUAGUCACUAAAUGUACCAUCAAGCCUUUUGGACUGUAUUCUUUAAGAAAUAUAGAAAAUAAAUUGUAUUUGUAGGUAAACCAAUGAGUUCAAACUUAUUUAUUAGUAACAAGUGUAUAAUCAGAUGGCCACCAUAGCACCCAAAGGCCAAAAAACUGCAACAUAAUUACCAAAAUUGGCGCAUACUAUAUAAGCACAGGGGUAUGGUCUUGACAAAAGGUAGCCAAGACAUCAUCUAUGCAAUGCUUUGUUACAUUGAUGAUUAAACUUCUAGAAGUCACAUUUAACAUAGAUCACUGAAAGAGUAUUCUCCAAACUGCAAUUAAAGUUGCGUCUUUUCUCCAUGAUGCAGUAAAGUAACAACAUCCACCAAUCAUUAACAUUCUUUCCUUUUUCGUUAUACACAGUUUGGAGGAUAUAUUUGACUGCUAACUGAGAUCUUUCAGCAAUAAUCCGAAAAAAUGGGGGAUGUACUUCAGCAAAAUGAAAGUAAGUAGUUUAUAUAUAUAAUUAAUGAAGGCAUGAUAAACAAAAGAAGGGGGCAAGAGUUACAUGGCUACCCGUGCAAAGCGCCCGGAAGUUUUCUGAAAGACAAACAUAUAACAAAUAAUCAGAUUAUUUUCAUGUACCAAAUCAGAAUGAAAAAUUAGCAGUGUUAUCCUCAGCAUUUGGGUGCCAUACCUAUGGUUUUAGGAACUGUUUUCCCAAAGAGACCCAUGGUAAUGCGGCCUGAAAGCAAAUAAAUCACGAAUAUAAAACAUCCUUACAUAAACUAAGAUUACUGGGAAUCUAAAUUUAAAUAUAAGCAAGAUAUUCACUAUAUUUCUAGUCAGUGAAAAAACCCUUAAACAAGUAACAUAAGAAUAAACAUUUCAAGUAGAAGCAAAUCCGUGCCGCCAAUUGGUGAGGGCAUGGUUCAACAUCUCGUGAAAGUAAAACCAUUUAUAUGUGUUCUAUGAAGAAUUUCAAAUGAAUCCAUCCUGGUUUACUCUAAGCAGAAAAAUCAUCGACAUUUGUUCUCCGAAGAGUUUCAAAUGAGUCUAUCCUGAUUUACCACAAGCUGAAAAAAAUCAUCAGCAGCUUGCCCUACUAAGCAUUUCAAAUGAAUAUAUCCUGAUUUACUAUAAGCUGAAACAUCAGCAGCUCCUCUGUUGAAUCCGAAACUUUUGCCUCUAGUGGAAGAAUUUUAAGCGGAUUUCAGCUCGGAUAUAUUCAAAUUCAAUCCCCAAUGUGUCAGCACCCACUCUCUAAUUCCAAUUCCACCAUUACAUCCCAAAAAUUUCUCAAAACAGAUGAGCCCAAUUUUCCAAACAUAUCAUACCAAUGGGUUUUCCGCUCACUUCGACAUCAAAAUAGACUUUGUGUGUCACUCCAUCUAAAUCCUCCUUUGACUUGCUUUCCUGGAAAAAAAAAGGGGGGCAUAACUAAAUGAAUCAACCCAGGCACUUGCAUUUUUGGAUUUACAGGUAAAACAAAACCCAAAGAUCCAUCUGCUUCAACUCAAAAUAAAUUCUGGAAAAAAAAAAAAAAAUCUACCUUUUCAAGCGUGGUAUUGAUAGUCUUCUGCUCAAUUGAGACUGUGGCACUCAAUUGACUCUGCAAUUGUAACAAAAAAAUCAAUAUAAGAAUAAAAGAUUCUAAUAAUUUCAUUCUUCUCACUUGUAUAGACUCAAGAGUAAACCCUAUUUCCCGAUGAAAAAUACCUAAUUACGAGUUCAAUAAAUCCAUCAAUAACCAAAUUUCAAAAUCUAAAUUGUACUCCAAACCCUAGAUCCUACAAACCCCGUAACCCAUGUUUGAAUCGAAACAAACCAACCCAAUUCACGAGCUCCAUUCUGAAAGAAUGAAGAAAAUCGAAGGGAAAAUGCCCUCAGAAAUAGCUCGAUUUCUUAAGAAGUUUUCUCAUUCUUUCCCGAGAACCAAACAAAGUGGGGGAAAACUACAAACCAAGAAUGAAUACCUGAAUGAUUGCUAGGGUUCCAAUCAGAACCAUAAUCCAUAUAACAGCCACUGCAAUCAACCGUCUUGUCGCCGCCAUCGACUCCAGACUCUCUCUCAAUCUCUACUUUUUCAGCCCUAAGUGGAAAAACUGAAACUCCAAUCAGAUCCAAAAAAAAUUAUUUAAUAUUGUCUUUUUUUGGGGGGGGAUAUUAAUUUAUUUUAAAAUUGUUAAAAAUGAAGAGAAGAAAAAGAAAUGGAGGAAAAUCACAGGUGGCAGUUUGUAAAAACUUUUCUUCGAAACAAAAACAAUUUUAGUUAUAUUUGUCUAUUUGAAUUGCAGGUCAAUUAAUGUAAAGUAAUUUUGAAAUCUCUUAAAAGUCAAUUGUUGUCAUUUUCAUCGGCAUUUAGUACUAGAUUUGAAACCAUCAAUACCUAAUCUCGGAACAUAAUCAAGUAUAGAAUUGACUUUUAUUAUCUUAUUUUUCUGGUAGAUUUAUAAUUAUAUCAUUUUAUUACUUCUCAUAAUUAUGUUUGGAUAGGGUUGCCUUUUCUUCUGGGAAAUGUUUUCCUUGGAUCUAUUAUUAGAUUAUUUAUUGUAUUGGAAUUGGAUUUUUCCAAAUCUUCUCAUUUCUUAGUAAAAAGGAAAAGUUUCUCACCAUUUUGGUAUUCAUAGUAAGUUUAUUUGAAAUAUAUUUUGUUUACUUAGAAAUUUAAAAGAGCGGGAAACCUCGACGGCCGUGACUCAACGACCCGAUCCACACAGAAAUGAGAAAACAACAAUGUCAAUAAAAUAAUAAUAAUAAUAAACGCGUCAACGAUCGACCUAUAAAGACUCCGAAAUCCAAGCAACGUCCGAGGAAUUCCCAGAAACACUGAAUUUUCACAUUUCCCAAACACAGUUUCCGUUGACAAUUUUGAUGAGAUGAAAACCCACAAUUACAAGGUGUUUAAGUGCUUCAGCAGGAAGUUCAAGAUCGGCGGAGUGGAGCCUCCGCCAUAUGUUAAGCUUAUUUUUGCGAAAUAUUCCGGUGGAGGGACCCACAUGGGGCCCGCCCAGUUCCGCCGCUUUCUGGCCGAGGUUCAGGGCCAGGAAGGUUGCACGGUGGCGGACGCCGAGAGGGUCAUGGAGGAGGUUGCCCGCCGGCGGCACAACCACAUUGGAUUGACCGAGCAUCAGUCUUGCGCCCUCACACUCGAUGACUUCUUCCAUUACCUCCUGUCCGAUGAUCUCAACCAAGCCAUCAAAACCCAGGUCUUGGUUUUCUCUAUCUUUCGAAAUUCUCGCCCUGUUUUGCUGUUUGCUUCCUGAGAAAACACAAGAAAAAGAAAAGAAAAGAAAAGAAAAGAAUUUCUUGAUUGUUAAUUUAGCUGUGUUGAUGGAUAAUCUGGUUUCAGGUACACCAUGAUAUGACUGCUCCGUUGCCACAUUAUUUUAUCUACACAGGUCAUAAUUCAUACUUGACUGGAAAUCAAAUCAGCAGUGAUUGCAGUGAUGUGCCAAUCAUAAAGGCCCUGCUAACAGGCGUGAGAGUGAUCGAGCUCGAUAUAUGGCCAAAUUCCACCAAAGAUGAUAUUCAGGUUAUUCAUGGAAGGUACCACUUAAUUCCCAAUUCGGAUCAUCUUCUACUAUUAGAACUCUUCAGGUUUUUUUACAGAUGAAGUGAUCUCAUUAUCUGAAUUAUUCUAGGACACUAACAACCCCAGUGACCCUCAUCAAAUGCUUGAGGUCCAUAAGGGAGUAUGCUUUCAUCGCCUCUCCAUACCCUGUGAUAAUAACUCUAGAAGAUCAUCUUACACCCGAUCUUCAAGCUAAAGUGGCAGAGGUUAGAUUCAUGUUGUUCAUGGAUUUAAAUUUCGAAGCAAAUUUUUCUGUUUGUCUUGUUUCUGAUCAAGAAUUGGUCUUUCCUCUAGAUGGUUACUCAAACAUUUGGGGAUAUGCUGUAUUACCCUGAGUCCGGAUGCCUAGAAGAAUUCCCAUCCCCAGAAUCAUUGAAGUAUAAGAUUAUUAUUUCGACGAAACCACCAAAAGAGGAUGUUGAAGCCAAGAGAAUCAAGGGAAAAGAAAAUUCCUCGCCAAGGGAAAGGGAUAUAUGUGAAGAAUCAUCGCAGAAGGAGGUGUCUGACCUACUAGCUGAACUGGAAGCUGCAGAGAGGGUGAGAGAUGAAAAAAGAAACAUAUCUGAGCACAAUUUCUGAUGCUUUGCCUCACUUCAACUUUGGUUUUUGGUAGGAGAGUGAGAGCUACGAGUAUGAAGAGAACAGCACCAGUGAUGGCAGGUCAGGCCAGUCAGAGACGCCUAAAUACAAGCUCCUAAUCACAAUUCAAGCGGGGAAGCCAAAGGGUGGGUUGAAGAAUGCCUUGAGGGUUGGGAGUAACAAGAUUAGACGUCUUAGCUUGAGCGAACAGGCGCUUGAAAAGGCUGCUGCCUCUCAUGGAACCGAUCUCGUGAGGUACUCAUUCAACCAUUCCGUCCUGCAUACCUGCUAGUAGUUUGCCACUGUUAUAGUUUAGAUUUCAAUAUUAUGCCUUUUCUAGGUUCACACAGAAGAAUGUUCUGAGGAUAUACCCUAAAGGGACGCGAGUUAACUCAUCAAAUUACAAGCCAAUGCUCGGGUGGAUGCAUGGAGCUCAGAUGGUGGCAUUUAAUAUGCAGGUUGGUUCAAGUUUCAGGUGCUGUGGAUGAGAAGCUUUACUUUAUAGUUCUCUUGAUUUUUCCAUUAGUAUCUCUUCCUUGUUUGGUUAGUAUCAACUCUCAACCAUCAACAACUGAAAAUUACUGCAGAAAGAAUGCUUUUGCUUUCUUCAAAGUUAUUAUUAGCAAUUGCUUUUCCUUUUCCUUCCUUCACAAGUUUCAAGCAGUGUUUGCUUAGUCGUAUGCAUUUAUACAAGCACAUACCUAUAUGGUAAGGUGAAGUUGUCUUUUGUAAUGAUUCUCUUCCUUCUGUAUAGACAUUAUACGUUUGAAGCUCAAUGGGUCCUUUAAAAUGCGUCUACAUAAUAGUUAAGAGGAAUUAAUUACUUGUAUGCUGUGAAAAACUUCUCCCCUUAUCUGACAUGACGAGAAUAUCAUGUUUAUAUAUAUAGUGAGUUCCUCAUAACUAUAUAAACGCAUUAUAAAGCCAUGAUGACUCAUUGGACCUAGAGCGAGAAAGAACAUAAGAUUACAAAUGGGGCAUUAGAGCCGAUCCCCGUUCUUGUGUGGGACUUCCUUUUAGCCUUUCUUCUACUCUUGCCAGUGGUUGUUUUCUUUCUUCCUUGAGAAGAAAUUGAUGGAAAUGGAGGCAGUGAUUCCUUGUCUCGACUUCAGAUUCUUGUUGAUAAGAUUUGAUUUAUCUAAAACACUUUAACAUUUCCUAUUGUACUGAUAUCUGAUAUGUGAGCGUGUUCAUGUAACAGGGAUAUGGAAAAUCACUCUGGUUAAUGCACGGGAUGUUUAGAUGCAAUGGAGGGUGCGGCUAUAUAAAAAAGCCUGAUUUCUUGAUGAAGAAAGGUCCAUGUAGGGAAGUCUUCAACCCUAAAGCAACCCUGCCAGUGAAGACAAUCUUAAAGGUGACUCCAUCUUUCUAGCUUCAGUAUGAAUUCUGUCCAUAACCUCUCCUUAGUAUCUCCCGUCACUGGAACAGGUGGGAGUGUACAUGGGCGACGGUUGGAGCUUAGAUUUCAGCCCAACACACUUCGAUACAUACUCCCCACCAGACUUCUACACAAAGGUUUGUUAGACUCAACACUUCACAGUAUUUCCAUCACAAUGUCUUUUUUCAGGUUUACUUACUGCUAAACUACAUUACAGAUUCACAUAGUUGGAGUACCUGCAGAUAAUACUAAGAGGAAGACGAAGAUAAUAAACAACAACUGGUUUCCAGUAUGGGAUGAAGCUUUUAUAUUCUCAUUGACAGUUCCAGAGCUCGCUUUGCUUCGAAUUGAGGUACGAGAACAUGAUAGAUCCGAGAAGGAUGAUUUUGGUGGGCAGACAUGUUUGCCGGUCUCGGAGCUCAGGCCUGGGAUCCGCUCAGUUCCUCUGUUCGACAAAAAGGGGGAGAAGUAUAAAUCUGUGAGGCUACUCAUGGAGUUUGAAUUCUUAUGAACUCUACAUUGCCUUCCUUUCAUACAAAUUUCAAUCACAUUAUAGGUCAUGUACAAAAAAGAAUGCAAGUCUUUAUCAUUUGAUAGUGGGGAUUUUUACUUGCUUUAUGUCAAAGUUAAAUGAUAGAUUUGAGAGGCAUAUUAUGCUGCGUACCACAGUUUUUGGGCACUGUUUUAUUAAUUUGGUACCAUCAUGUAAGCUUUAGAUAUUCCUUUUACACUUAUAGUGUAAAUGCGUUCAAAAGCCCUCGAGAUUUAAUGGCCUCAAGCCAUUACAAUCAAUUUCAAGUGUAAAUACUCAUGAAUCCUAUUCUAGGUUAAAAAGGUAGAGUUUGACUAUCUAUGAAUCUGUGUCAUGGUAAGGAUUUUUUUCACUAUGUUUGGUUUGAGGAAAGAAAAAUAAUAAUAAAAAAAGGUAAUUUUUUUAUGUUUGGUAUUAUCAUGAAAAAAAAAAUUAAAUAUAAGUGAAAUUAAUAUAUUUUUAGAUUAUUCAAUCUUUACAUAGAAGAGUUAAAAUAAUAAAUAAAAAUAACCAUUUUAUUUUUCAAAAACCAGACAUAAUCUUUAUAAAUCUGACACCCAUAAAUUUUAUAGUCCAUGGCAAAGACAUUGUGUUUAUGUAAAAAAAAAUUGUAAUAUUUCGCUUGGACAUCCCAUCCUGGUUGGAAAAAUAAAGUUUAGCCGCCCUUAAACCCGUGGUCCACAAGCGAGAUAUCAUAGAUGUGACUAAAAUUUUAUGGAAUCAUGACAAAGAACUUUAUAACCAUGGCAAGGAUAUUGUCUAUGCAUUUGUAGUUAGAAAUAUCCAAAAUGUAACCACCUAUAAAUUACAUGACCAACAAUAAUGACAUAAUUUACAUAUCAAUAGCGUAAAAUAUAUGUCCUUUGGUAGCUACUCAUGAAUUCCUUGAUCCAUAAAAGGAUCUCGUGCCUAUAUUCAUAGUUGAAGAUAUAAUGAUGAAUACGAUUAUGGAGGAACCAUGUGACUAUCAAUCAAAACAUUAUGCCUAUAACAUAAAGAUAAGCACAAUCAUAGUUUAUAUCUCUUGAAAAGAGAAUGAGAAUAUCAUCUCUCACAUAUUCGCAAAUAUAUUUUAAAAUUUAAUGCCAAAUAGGAAUAAUACUUGUUUUUAUACCGACGCUAAUAUAAAUACUUUUUGGGCAUUUCAAAAAUGAAAAGGAAAAAGGAAAGAAAUGAAGCACAAUCAUGUAAGUUCUUCUACAUAGAAGUCAUGCUUUAGUAGCCAAAACCAGGUGUAAAGUAGUAUCACAACGAAAAUUAGGAUGAGAGAAUCACUUUAUCCUUUGAUUUCAUAUGAGGAAAGGUAGAAAUGGACAAAAAAAUAUAAAAAAUAAAUGCAGAGGGUGAUGGGGAAUGAGCUUGUGGGUGGUGGACACCUUCCAAAGAAAAAUCCCAUGUGUGGGCUCUUUAUUGUUUGUCGGUAGGUCUCUGCCUUUACUACAUGAUUACCGAGUUUACACUAUGUAGUGCGUUUUUAUAAUAAACUAGUUAAUCAAAGAAAAAGAAAAUGAUUCCUUUCCCAUCUCACAAGCUUUUAUUUUCUCAAUUAUUAUACAAUAUUUUUUUUUCAAUUAAUUUUUUUAAAGAGGAUUAAUUAAUUAUUUUUAAGAUUUGAUAGAACUAUUUCAAAAGAAUGAUAUUAAAAAAAAUUAAAUAAGAAUAUCAAAUAUAUUACUCUUCCUUUAGUAUUCUUGGCUUCUUUCGUCUCUCCUAACCAAUCAAAUAUAUAAAAUAAAAUUUGAGGUCGUUCUUAAUCUGAUUUUUAUUUUUAAAAAGUAAUUUUUAUAUUUAAUAUUUAAUAUUUAAUUAUUUUUUAUAUUUAAAAAUAAAAAAUUAUUUUAUCUCUUUUUUUAUUUUGAAGAAUAAAAAAGUGUUUUAAAAAAUAAUUAUGAAGGGAUUUAACUACUCAUAAAUUUAUAUACGAAUAUCCAAACUUAAAAUUUAAAAUAAUAAUUUAUAUUUUUUAAAAAAAAUGAGAAUUUCAUCUUCUUUAGAAAUAAAAAAGGUAGCGCAACAAGUAGCACGUUGUGACCUAUAGGGAUUUUGUACCUCAAAAUUCAUACCUAAUAAAGUCAAAUCAAACUUAUAACUUAAUUAAAACUCUAAUUAAACGUGGACCCUUCACCAUAGAUAAAGGUCAAUUCGGGCCGGACACUUGGUUGGGCCAACGUGGCACAACAAAACAGUCAAGGCGGGCCCACAACUAUCGUGAACUGUGGGCUGGCCCCACUCAUCCAACCCCAAUCAUUCUGGGCUCAGCCACUCUCCUGAACAAAUUUAUGAACCGCAACAACCUCUCUCAUUUUCCUCGAGAAAAUCUCCAUUUUCUCUGCUUUCUCUCUCUAGAUUUCUCCGUCUCUGUCUAGUGUCCGCCAUGUCCAAGCAAACUUACAGAGUCUGCUUCUGUUUCCGCCGACGCUUCCGCCUCACCGUUUCGGAGGCGCCGCAGGAGAUCAAGGAGUUGUUCGACCGCUACUCCGAGAAUGGGAUGAUGAGCAUCGAUCACCUUCAACGGUUCUUGAUCGAGGUCCAGCAGGAGGAGAAAGCUACUGUUGAAGAUGCUCAGGCCAUUUUGGACAGUCUUCAUGAGUUCAAGCAUCUCAAUAUUUUUCAUCGCAAGGCUCUUAAUCUCGAAGCAUUCUUUAAGUACCUCUUCGGCGACAUUAAUCCUCCGCUCUCGACUGCUCUUGGGGUAAUUCUUGAUUUUCGUUUUCAUUUUUUUUUUUUCUGUACUGUGUUUGAUUGUGAAGAAAUGAAAAAGAAUUCAGAAUCUGAGGAUGGAAAAAGGUGCUAAAAUUAGCUCAAAUGAGUUGAAAGACUUGCGCUGGGCUUGGUUAAGUGGGAUUUUCUAUUCUUUUUUUUUUUUUCUUUUUUUUUUUGUAGGGUCCUAAAUUGUGAAUAUAAUUCAGUUUAAAAUUUUGAUAUUCUGGGAAAGCAAAGGGCGUCUUUAUCGUUUGAAUAAAUUCGUUAGAUGUGUUGAUCGAGCUGAUUCAAUUUCCGUUAAGCAUACGAGGUGUUCUUAUGGUAAUACUGGCUUGGUUUAGUUCGAUCUGCUUUCAAUUAUCUGUCUAAUUAUUUGCAUUCCAUUUUAGUUGUUCUUGCCUUCUUGGUAUAGUUGGUUAUUGGUGAUUGCCGUGCUAUAUUCUUCAAUAUUGUGGUGGGCGAAAGGCAAAAUUUAAUUAUUGGUUCUUUUUCUUUAAGAUCGAAGUAAUGGUAAUGAUCUAUUUUUACUUUUAUGGAGGAUGUCAUGGGAACUGCUUAGAAUUAGGCAUUAUGCACUCAUUUGUGUAAGCAACUCAUAGUAAAAUCCUAAGGAUUCGAGGCUUGUUAGACAGUGCUUUUCACAAUAUCCAAAUAUCUAACCCAUUAAUUGAUGGGCAUUUGAUUUUCUGAAACAUGUUUAAUUUCACAAUUUCUCACUUCUGCGCUAGAAAGUUCACUAUUAGUUCGAUAUGCAGAUCAAGUUAGAAAAUGGCUUUUUAGUUGUUCACAGAACUUGCGGUGAAAUGUAGGGGAGAUUUGUUAAAUUGUUUCAGUUGCAUCCUCACCUCAAUUGAUAUUAUUUUAUUACUACAACACUUCACGGUAUAUUUCGUAUUGUAUAUUUCAUAAUAAUUUUCCUUGUUCCAGGUGCAUCAUGAUAUGACUGCUCCAUUGUCUCAUUAUUUCGUAUAUACUGGCCACAAUUCCUAUCUGACAGGGAAUCAACUUAGUAGCGACUGCAGCGAUGUCCCCAUCAUACAUGCACUGCAGAGAGGCGUAAGAGUAAUUGAGUUGGAUAUAUGGCCAAAUUCUACAAAAGAUAAUGUUGAUGUUCUUCAUGGAAGGUAUGGAGUUAAUAUGCAAAUGACAGUCUACCUGAAAUAUGGCAUUGCUUUAAGUGUGGUCCGACUUUUCUUGGAUGCUAAUAGAACUUUCCCUUCUGUUGCUGACAUAAAAACAUCCCUUUCCAGGUCUUUGGAUACAACCCAUAAGGGUUUGCCCGUUCUUUGUACAUAAACCUUUGUGAUGAUUUCGCGCAGUUUCAGUAGUUCUUCCGCUUCCAUGACAAAUUCUCCGGCUUGUGCCUCAUAAAAAGCAGCAGCCGGUUGAUGGAUCAUUACUCUGAUGAUAUAACAUAAUAAAUGAUUUCUCUAUCUCGUAUGAUGAGUUAUUUAAACAUUGGGAUAUAAACUAACCUAAUGCAAUGAAUAUUUUCUUCACAAACAGUUUCGCAAUUCCUGUCAUCAUUUUGAAUAUAGACAUGAAUUUCCAUCCAAAUGUGGUGACAAGUUGAUUGAUACAAGCAACAUAUGUUCUAAUUUUGUUUACUUCGGCUUUGGAUUUGAUGUUAGCAAUAAUGAUUUGAAUGUGUUUGUUGUAAAUAUAAUUUGUACAACAACAAAACUGAACUAAAUUUCAGAAUGUUUUGAGCUGCUCAAAAUUGAGUGGCACCUUAAACUUGUCAAAACAGAAAUCCAUGUCUUAUGACACUAUUGCUUCUCUAAAAUUUCAACUACCAAUUAGCAUUUUCUCAUUGUGAAAAUUUUCUUUGACCUCUUUAGAGAGAUCUGAAUAUGCAUCACCUGUCCUUAUUUCUAUUUUAAGUCUUGGUUUUCUUCAUGUAGGACACUGACAACUCCUGUGGAACUUAUCAAGUGUUUGAAAUCUAUUAAGGAGCAUGCCUUUUCUGCAUCUGAAUAUCCUGUUGUGAUAACUCUAGAAGACCACCUCACUCCAGAUCUUCAGGCUAAAGUGGCUGAGGUCAGUAUUUGAAUUUCUAUAGAUCUUUUGACCCCUCAUUGUUUUAUAAUUCAUUAUCAUUUGAAUUUCUAGAUGGUCACUCAAACAUUUGGAGACAUACUGUUUACUCCCGGCCCAGAAUGCUUGAAUGAAUUUCCCUCCCCUGAAUCUCUGAAGAAACGGAUUAUUAUAUCAACAAAACCACCAAAAGAAUACCUCGAGGCUAAAGAUGUGAAGGAAAAAGAGAAUGAUUCACAGAAGGGAAAGGAGUCUGCAGAUGAAGAAGCUUGGGGAAAGGAAGUUUCAAACCUUAAACCCAGUACUGUAGCCGUUGAUGAGGUGCAUGAAGAUUCUGGAUUUAAUUUGGGACCCCUCUGGUUUGUACACAUAGUGUUGAUUCCUCCAUUUCUGACUUAGCAUCUUCUAACAGAGUAACUUGGAAGAAGAAGAAAAUAUUGAUGAAGAAGAUCUUGAUGAAGGAGAUCCCAAAUCACAGCAGAAUGCAGCCCCCGAAUACAAGCGUCUGAUAGCCAUUCAUGCUGGGAAGGUGAAGGGGGGAUUAACAGAAUGGCUCAGGGUGGAUCCUGAUAAAGUGAGACGUCUUAGCUUAAGUGAGCAAGAGCUUGAAAAGGCUGUACUAACUCAUGGAAAAGAAAUUGUCAGGUACUGUUUACAAUCUUUUAGCAAGCUUUGUGUAAAACAUAUCUUGUUUGUUUGUAUUCAAUUUAUCCCUGUUUGUGCCAUAAGUGUAACACAAUUUAUUUUUCCUAGAACAAUAACUCAGCCCAUUAGCUGAUAUUCAUGCAGGAGGAUUACAAAGGCUUGCUUAUAAGAUUUCAAUUUUUUUCAUUGCAUAUUUCAAAUGAUGUAUUCCUGUUUGUGGCAUAAGACUGAACAGUUCAUUUUCCCUCUAACAAUAACUAAGCCCAUCAGCUGAUAUUUAUGCAAGGAGGAUUAGAAAGGCCCGCUUAGAUGAUUUUAUUUAUUUUUUCAUUGCUUGUUUCAAACAAAUGCAAGUACCUACCUUGAUAGGUUCCAGAGAUGAUAUACAAGAAGCAGCUGGUGUCAUCCAUGUGAAGAAUGUGAAGAGAGGUGAACCCUAGUAUUAGAGAACUUAUCAACGAUUGACCCCACUUUGAUGAUUAUUGCUAUUUGGUCGAUCACAUGACUAACAAUGCUAUUGGUCAUUGUCAAGAAUGGAUUCAUGUAAUGGAGUUACAAUUAUUUGAUUGAGUUAAACUUUUUUCAUGAAUAUGUCUCAUGGGGGGCAUCAAGAUAUGGGUUACAUUCUCCCUUGUGUAUAUUUUGCCUUUCCUGUAUAACAAGUUUUGACUAUACAUUACUUACUAUAUAUUAAUUACUAUAGAUUUGUAUCCUAACCAUCAAAUAACAAAGUUUGUCAUAUUCUGAUGGUUGGCUUGCUUUAGAUUUACCCAACGGAAUUUGCUGAGGGUGUACCCAAAGGGUAUACGUUUUGACUCUUCAAACUAUAAUCCAGUAAUUGGAUGGAUGCAUGGAGCUCAGAUGGUUGCAUUUAAUAUGCAGGUUAGGUUUUAGUUUCUUUAUCCAAAUGUGGUUUUGUUAUAUGUACUUCUCAGAGCUCAUUUAUGUAUAGAUCUUUUUGUCAUUUAUGUAUUUAUUCAUCUGAAAACUAAUGGUUAAAAAGAGAAGAUGUUGGAUGAGAUGUUACAAAAUUACCAUGCUUGAUAAGCAGGCAGUGUUAAGGCCUUGUUUCUCUGUUUCUUAAAUGAGGUUCCACUAAAUUGAAAUUAUUGUAUAGAGAUUCAGUAUAGUAAAAAAUGUUGAUACAUAGCUGCUUAUAUAGGAAAUAACAUAGGUAAGGCAGUGCUAAGUUAGGUUUAUCUUUCAAUCUUUUUUACUUUCAUCCCAUUUUUACCCUUUUUGUUUUCUGAUAGGGGAGUCAAAUAUAUCUUUCUGUGCAGUGGCAAUAACUCUCAUGAAACAGUUGCUUCACCUUGAUUCUGACACAAUGAUGAAUAAGUCAAGGAGAACUACAUUGUGGACCAUUAAGUAUAAGAUAUUUUUAAUACCUAUCAAAAAAAAAGUAUAAGAUAUUUUUAAUGUUAGAAAUAUUAUUCACCUAUCAAAAAAUGUUAGAAAUAUUCUUUAGUGCCAAAUAAAGGAUUAAAGCAAUUUUAUUUGUCAUAAAUGCUUUAAUAAUAAUUUAUGAUUUAAAAGAAAUCUAAAUAAGAUAAGCCCUUGAUGCAUUUGUUCAAACCAUUCCUUUAGGUGAGCUUUAAAAUCUGGGCCUUUCAUUUCUUUAAAAUGCUGACCAGACUAUAGCAUAGAGCACUUUUUUGGGAAAGCUAUUAAGACGGGGCACACUGGUUUUCUAAAAUAUAUCAGACAGUGAAGAAUGAAUGUCUCUGUUAUGAUGAUUUUUAUGAUCUCUGGCUAUUAUUGUUGUUAGCAUCAUGAGUCCAAAUUUUCACUCUCUCUCCUAUAAAGAUCUAUUUGUUGCUAUAAACCACAGCUUGGUUUUAAAAAUAGCAAAAUUAGACUAUACAAAAUUUAGCUACAGAUUAAUUACUUCAUUUUACAUUCAAUAAAUACAGUUUGGAUUUAAGGAUCCUUUUCAUAAUGAUGCAAAUGACAUAACAUGGAAAAGAAGACCAUUGAUUAUAGAACUAACUCUUUUACAUCAGAACACUCACAAUUUUCCUAAUGAUGGAAGUAAAAUAUGGAGAAAAAAGGGUAACUAAUUAGAGAACUUACUCUUUCACAUUAGAACAAUCAGAAUACCUAUUUCUAUUAAGAAAUUGUUUCAUCAGAACCAAUGGAGCCUAAAUAGAUUUGUAGUUCUUUCCAGAGAUAUAGAAAAUUAACUUUUGUUGAGGCAAAUUGUGUUGAAAGACAAUUAAAGGGUUUUUGAGGGCCGUAUGCGGUGGCCAGUGGGAUGUGAAGGCACACAAUUGGAGUCGGAAUCACUUUCUAAUGCUAAAAUAUUUAUGAUUAGCAUGCUGCAGUUGAAUCAUAGCAAGAUUAAUGUUGGAAAUUGUAGCCACUUUUUUCUUAUUGUACUUUUUUAACCUUAUUCAGAUUAUGUGUUUUUUGUUGUUUAGCACAUAACUUGAAAGAAAAGCUGUUGAAUUCUCACAUGCAGCUGAAUUUGGGAAUGUGAAUGCAUUUUCUGGCAUACUAGGUGCUAAUGCAAAUAAAGCUAUGCUGACAUAUGAUGCUAUCAUAUGCCUAGGCAGGUUCAACCCUGUCAAUAGCUAAAAAUGGGCCUUAGGAAACUUCCUAAACAGUAUGAACAUUGUAAUUUGUACCCUUAAGGAAGGACAAAAAUUUUGUGCCCUUUUGCUUCAGGUUGAUACAAAAAUAUUGAUAGCAACAACUGCAAGAUAUCUUUGUUGUACAAAUAAGUUGUUUUUUAUGAUACUUUUGUCAAUAUAAAAAGCAUGUUCUUGGUCACACCUUUAGUUGCAGACUGUGAGAUAUCAGUUUUUACCUCUGCCUAAUAUCAAGAAAGGGUUUUCCUCUGACAGGGAUAUGGUAGAUCACUCUGGAUAAUGCAUGGAAUGUUCAAAGCCAAUGGUGGGUGUGGUUAUGUGAAAAAACCGGACUUUCUAUUGAACAAUGGCUCACAUGAUGGGGUCUUUGAUCCUAAAGCUAAGUUACCAGUGAAAACAACUCUAAAGGUGACUACAGUAAUGCCCGGGCUACUGUCCAUAGUUCCCUAUGCCUAUUGGCUCAAGUGCCUCUUGUGUGUGUAUAUAUAUAUUUUGCAUCCGUCUCUGUAACUGAUGUUAGCUUUGUUACCAAAACAGGUAACUGUAUACAUGGGGGAAGGAUGGUAUUUUGAUUUCCGACACACACACUUUGAUGCAUACUCCCCUCCAGAUUUCUAUGCUAGGGUAAGUUGAUAUAGUCUACCAACAUAUUUUGAAUCUUCACCUAAUAUCCGUUUUUUUUUUUUCUCUUUUUUCAUUCCAUGUGAGAAUCCCCUUUCUUAUCUGUUGUCAUCAAUUUUGGGCAUACCCAGUUGGUGUGGGUCUCCAACUAGAUAUCUCACUGGAGUCUGAACAUUCUGUACGCUGCAGGUUGGAAUAGCUGGAGUUCCUGCUGAUACCAUAAUGAAGAAAACGAAAACACUGGAGGAUAACUGGACCCCUAAUUGGGAUGAGCAUUUUGAGUUCCCACUUACAGUUCCUGAACUGGCUCUUCUUCGCGUUGAAGUUCAUGAGUACGACAUGUCUGAGAAGGAUGACUUUGGAGGCCAAACAUGCCUACCCGUGUCUGAGCUUAGAAGAGGGAUCAGAGCAGUUCCCCUCUUCAGCCGCAAGGGGGAUAAGUACCCGUCUGUCAAGCUUCUAAUGCGCUUUGAAUUCGUGUGAUAUGAUUCCCACAAACAUCAUCCCUGCUUUCAAUUGGUUUGCUUCCACCGUGAGCUUGUAUCUACUAUUAUUUCUUGUUGCUCUGUGUAUGUAUGUAUAUAUGAUAUAUGUUCGGGUCUACCAUCUUGUAUUGUAUUGCAGCCAUCAACUGUCCUAUGUAGUUGACUUUUAGUAUACUAAGAGAAACUGCCACUAUGAACCGGUUUCCCCAUUAUAUUGUAUGGAGCAUUGGGUUGUUUCCGACGAAAGAGUUUGAACAGAUUUGAAUUUGUCUUAAAUCUGAAUAAAAAUAUAUUAGGAAGUGUUUGUUUCUUUGGAAAAGGCUGGUGUCAAGAUUGUGGGGAUGAAUCAACCUCCUUCAAUGUUGUUUUUUUAAAGAGACUAAAAGAAAUUGUUGUCUAUGGUUAUAACAAUAAAAUAAAUAUUUUUGAUUAUUAUUUUGCAUUGAUAUUUGAUAAAAUACUGGCUUCGUGUGUACUAAAAGCUCAGUUUGAAUUUGGGCUUUCGUUUGUAUAAGAGAGGCGUGUGAGUGACAGUGGAGUCUAGUCCCGGGCUUUCACCAGAUGGCUUCAAGGACCCACCAACCACCGCCACUCUCUCUCUCGUCGGAUUCAGAUACCGAUUCCGAGGGAAAUUCCGGCGGAGUAGAGACUCUCCGGCACGGUGACCUCUCGGACUCUAUCUUCAAAUCCUACAUUCAGAUCACAGGUCGUUCAUCGCCUGAUCUCUCGAAAAUCCAAUCUUUCCUCACAUCAUCGCGCUCCGGGGCUCUGUCAUGCCUAAUUUGCCUGGAGCGGAUCCGGCCGUCUGAUCCCACCUGGUCUUGCACCUCCGGCUGCUUUGCCGUCUUCCACCUCAUCUGCAUCCAAAGCUGGGCCCGCCAAGCCUCCGACCUCUCCGCUUCACGCGCCACUGCACGCCUGUCCGCCGAUCUCUUCCCCGCCGCAGCAGCAAAGGCCAUUGAAGACGCCGCCUGGCACUGCCCCAAGUGCCGAUUCGAGUAUUCUAAGGCCCUAAUCCCCAAAGCUUACUUCUGUUUUUGUGGUAAAUUACAAGACCCACCGAGGGACCCGUGGAUCUUACCGCAUUCAUGCGGCGAAAUAUGUAAUCGCCCACUGAAGAACAAUUGUGGUCACUAUUGUUUGCUGCUCUGCCACCCUGGCCCCUGUCCAUCCUGCCCAAAACUUGUACAAGCUCGUUGUUUUUGUGGGUCUGUCGAAGAUGUUCAGCGAUGUGGGUUCAAGAAAUUUUCGUGUAAGAAUAUUUGUUCCAAGUUAUUGGAUUGUGGGAUUCACCGGUGUUCGGAUACUUGUCAUGAUGGCCCUUGCCCUCCUUGUCAAGCUCGCAGUGUUUAUCGGUGUCAAUGUGGAGAGAUAGAAGAAGAGAGGGAGUGCUGCGAUCGGGUCUUUCGGUGUGAGGUCCCGUGUGGGAGAGUGCUUGGGUGUGGGAAGCAUGCGUGCAGUAAAGGUUGUCAUUCGGGUGAGUGUGGCCAGUGCCCACUUCAGGGAAGGAGGACAUGCCCUUGUGGGAAGAGGGUGUAUGAAGGGAUGGCUUGUGAUGUCUCGGUGCCACUCUGUGGAGCCACUUGUGAUAAGAUGUUGAGCUGCGGGUUUCAUAGUUGCCCGGAGCGAUGCCAUAGAGGCCAAUGCAUUGAGACUUGCAGGACUGUUGUCAUUAAAGGAUGUCGGUGUGGGAGCUUGAAGAAAGAGGUACAAUUUUUCUGUUGUGCUUACUGAGAAACUAUUUGCAUUGUUGUUUUACAUAUGGAAUGGCCAAUUUAAACUGAACCUAGAAUAGGUUCCUUGCUAUCAAGAUUUGGCAUGUGAAAGGAAAUGUCAGAAAGUACGAGAUUGCGGACGCCAUGCUUGUAAACGCCGAUGCUGUGAUGGGGAUUGCCCACCAUGCUCUGAGGUCUUCUUUACUCUUGGAACCAGGUCACUUCAUUUCUUCACAAUUAUUAUAUGUAAAUUUGCUAAAAUUUUGUAUUGCAGAUUUGUGGCAAGAGGCUUAGAUGUAAGAACCACAAGUGCCCUUCUCCAUGCCAUAGGUAUGUUACCUUGUAGUUUGUUUGUUGUAUCCGAGAGGUUGAGCUUUAACUACUAGUUAGGGAAAAAGGGGGAACUUCCAAGCAGUUCCAUUGUGUUCAUUAUAUUUGGUAAUACUAUAUUUUGUGUUUUAAUGCUAUCAUCUCAGUCUUGUCAUUUGGGUUCUUUUUGUGUUUAGCAUUUUCAUAUUUUUGUCAAUUGUAAUAUAUCAUUUUGACAUACCUUUGUAUCUAAGGACGAAUCUAUAAGACUAAAACCGAGUCAUGGAGAUGUUUUUAUUCUUUUCAAUGUGAAUUUUUUGGGAUCUUUGAUGUCUUGGCCAUGUGGUGCUGUAGCUAAUCUGUUGGGAUGUCAGAUGAACACAACACAUCACGUGACGAAAGUGGUAAGAGAGCAUUUGGAGCCUAUAAAGAAAAAGUUAAGAUAGCAUUUGGAAAACUUUGUUACUGAAAGAAUCAUGAAGCUUGUAUUUGGUGAACACAUGACAUAAUUCAUUCUCCUACGAUCUACCAAACAAUGGAUCACAUAAUAAGAAUGAUGUUUUCUAAAUGUAAGAGUUGUAUUCUUAUUUAUUAGUCUAAACAACUCAAAAAAAAAAAAAAAAAAACAUAACAAAAAAAAAACACCUAUUUAACCAUUCACCAUUCAAGUGUGAAGAAAUAGUGGUGGUGGUGAUGGCAAGAGUAGUAGAAACAGUGUCCAAAAUAGUCAAGACAGGUCUGAUGAUGAUGGUUGCCGUGGUGGCAAUGACCAUGGAAAUGGUUGGUGGCAUCGAGAACUAUGACCAAGGUGGAUGUAAUGGUGGAUGCUGCACAGAAACCUAUGGUAAGGUGGGGGCAGUGGUGUUAUAGCAACAACUGUGGUGGUGGUGGUGGUGGUGAGAUUAUGAUGGUUGUAGGCUUGUAGCAGUGUUAUAGGUGGUGUUACUGUGUUAGUGGGAAGGGUGGCGCUGGUGGUGACAGGUAGUAUGACUGUUAGACUGUUAUUUUGCAAUUUGUAUGACAAAGAGACAGGGCCUAAAGGAAUUUCAUAUGAGAAGUUAGGCAUUGUAAUUUUGCACUUCAGCUGUUUGAGCACCAGUGUAAAGUAUUUAUAAGAGC